UUUAUGAAGAGUUGGUAAGUAGAGGAGAGCAGCGAGUCCGCUCCCUCCGGAGGUGAAGUAAUAGUAAGUAGGGAUACUGAGAGUACUUGAGGAAACUUGAAACGCGGGGCUGCAAAAGAAAUCGAUAACAAAGGCUUUGAGGUUUGAGCGUUUGGAAAUUGUUAUUAGGGUUUCGUGGAGUUUAGGGUUGUUGAGCUCGCCAAGCUCGUACGCUAAGGCUGGGAGGUCAACUGGUGAACGUAAAGUGUCGAGUAGGCCGGAAACCGGAGGAGGGAGCUGGUGGAAGGUAACGGAGGGAACUGUGGCGGAGACGGAGGCGAUGUAAUCAUCGGUACCGGCGCUUGUUACGAACGGGGCGGUGGGGAUUAUGAUGUCGAUGGAGAAGCAAGGGUGAUACGUGAGUAUCAAUUUUCCUAAUUCAACCAUGGAGUUUAAGUGACCUCUUCCUGGAGAAGUAUAAAGGACGAUCGUAUCUUUCAUUGUUUUAAUCUUUAAUUUUACAAGUUAAAAUAAAAAAAACAGGAGAAAUGGUGAGAAAUUAUAGUGAGAGAGAAUGAGAGUGAUAAAGGGCUCCUUUGUGUUUGCUAAUCGCAAUGCAAUUAUGUAUCCACACCCAUGAGAAUGAGAGUGUAUCCACACCCACGACGAAACACCGGAAGCCUGUUGGUCACAGGGUUAAGAGGGCAGAAUUGUUGGUUGAAGUAAAGAGGAGGAUUUUGGGGAAACUCAACUCGGCUUCAAUCCCUUGUCUAACUUGUGGACUGAAUUAUUUAUAAAAAGGAGAAGGAAUUGCGUGUUGAGGAUCUGCUAUCACUUGUUUGACAGGUAUUGGGCCCAUCAGACAAUCACACUAUCACAGUAUGCUGACAUAAUUGACCUGACAUAUAUUCUAGCCCACACAGUACAACUUAACAUUUAUUUUAGCGGAUCCCCCUUAGUAAGCUACAGCUGGCUUGUCUUUUCAUUUCUGACCUGUUUGCUACAAAAUACCGUUUAGCCCCUUGAACUCUAUAUUAUUUAUAAUUUAUUCAUAAGUAUAUGAAACUUUCUCUAUUAUAAAAUUUUGUUGAGACCCUUACACUCUAUUUUAUUUUAUUGAAACCCUUAGAUUAGAGUAUCAAAUUAGCCACUUAUAAUUUUUAAAUUUUCAAAAUAUCCUCCAUUUAAUUAAAAAAUAUAAUAAUUAUUAAAUGAAUUAUAAUUACUGCUGUACGGCCAAGGCGGAUGUACGGUACAGCAGAUACNNNNNNNNNNNNNNNNAGUAUAAUUAUUUAAUCUAUUAACAAAAAUUAAUAAUAUUUUUUUAGUUAAAUUGUUAAUAAUAAUUAUUAACAAUCAUUAUUAUUAUUAUUAUUAAUUUUUGAAUAAUAAUAAUAAUCACAAUAAUUAAAAUAUAAAAUAAUUAUUAUGAUAAAAUUAAUUAAGGAUUUUAUAAUAAUUUGUUACAAUUUAACUCAUUUCGAUUUUGAUUCUAAGACAAAGUAAACACAUAAAUGAUAAUACAACUCAUUCUAAUUACAAUUCCUGCAGUUCAAGUAAAUAAAUUAUUCUUAUUCUGAUUCUAAUUCGUCAUUUCAAUUUUAUCUAUUGAGUUUCUAACUCAUUAUGUUUCUAGGUAAUUUUUAUUCUUAUUUAGUUAAUGCACUAUAAAAUUUUAAAUAUUUCAUAUUAAUUCCUAUUUACUAAAUAGGAAUCGAAAUUAGAGUGGUUUGGACCUCACAAGUCACACCACCCACCUUUUAAAGCCGAGAAAAUCUUUAGUUUGUGUAAUUAGAGAAGGAAAGGAAUUAUUGAAUAAUCUUUGAAUUUCAAGAAAUUGCAAAUGUGUAAAUUACAAAACUCCUUUAGAUGGAUGUUGUAACAUCUUCAUGGAAUAUUCCUGCGUAUAAUAAGUAGAUCAUUUUUGUGAAACGACAGUGCCAAAAUCAAGAUCAAAAUAUCAUUAAUUUGAGGGGGCCAAAAUUAAACUUUGUAUACAAAUGGGUAAAAUUUCAGUUAAAUAUAUUAUCUUAUCUUUUAAGAAAUUCUAGACAUCAACAUAGUUCUGCACCACAUAAUACAUCAUUGACUAUAUAUACACAAAAUUUUCAAUAUAAAAUUUUAAAAUGCGAGAAAAUCUUAAAAAAUUUUUAAACCGCAGCUCUCUCUCUCUACAUACAUACAUACAUAUAUAUAGUGUCGGAACGCAUCUGCCAUUACGCAUAUAUAUCAUUUUCAUUGUCCUGGACCAAAUUCUGCAUUUUGGACACUCAUUUAUUUUUCACGAACGUCGAAGAGUCAAAAAGAGAGAACGAGAGAGGGAAAAAAUGCAUGUACUUUGAUUAUUACUUCGUGAAGACUAGGCAAAGCAAUUGGUGUUGGCAAAGCCCAUAUUAAUUUUUAGUUGCUAUCUUCUCCAAUAAUUUAAACUCGUAUGGUUGAAUAAAUGAGCAGUUACACAUAUUAUAAAAGUCACAAGAUAAUUCUCAAGAAUUUUGAUGAUUAUGUAGAAGAUUUUCUCAAUUAAGACAAUGGAAACCACUAUGAGCUAAAAUCAAUAUGUCAUUAUGACCAUUCAUAUACGGCAAGUACUUGUUAUUGCCAUUAUAAAUUGCACAUAAGGAAAACAUCGCGACCGUCAUGAAAUGAUAUGUCAUCCGAUUGAAAAUUUCUAAAAUGUUGUGAUGAACAUAAAUUUUAUAAAUUAUAUAUAAGACUAUAAAAUAAAAUGUGAAAAUAAGUAAAUUAAUAAAAAAAUUAUUAACUGUUAUAAAAUUAACCAGGUUCUACAAAAUUUUAGUGAAAAAUAAUUUAUUCAUUUGUUUUAGUUAAACAAAGAAAAAUCGCUCAUCAAUUAGAAACAAAAAUUUGUACUGAAAACAAGUGUAAUAAAUUCAAUUGAAUUGUUUUAACUAUAAAUUUUAUAUUCAUUUCAUGACAUUUACAAAACUUUUUUUAUUUAAUUUUCUAUAAUAGUAGUUGUUUACUACACAAGUUAAUUAAGCAAAAUUAUUUAGCUUGAUGUAGAUUAAGUCAAAAUAAAAUUAACAAUAUAUUCUAUUAUUACUAGACACAUAUAUGAUAUAUCAAUAAAAUUAGAUUUAAUUUUGAGUCUUACAUCAUAUUCAUAGAAAUCUAUAUAACACUUUUUUUAAAAAAAAUAACUUUUAAUAAAUCAUUAUGAGUGUAUAAAUGUCAUUGUGAAUGUCAAAACUAAUAAAAUAGUCCAUUUAAUAAUAAAAGUUAACGAAUGUGGGUGCAUUUAUCCACGAGGGGUGUAUUUUGUUCUUUUUGUAAAAAUUUGGAGUUGUAUGUCUUAUUAUCCAAAAUAAAAUGAUAAUUAAUUAAAAAGAAUAUAUAGUAAAUUCUUUUAAAUUUUUUUCCAAGUCGACUGAAGACUUGUACGUUAAGAUGAACGAAGUAUAUUGGCAUAGGUCCCUGGGUUUCAUAUACAACUAUACAGAUAUAUCAUAUAUGUAUAUUCAUAGCGGAUCAAAUAAAAUUACAAUGCAAUCCAAGUGGCUCCUUUUGCUUACACAAGUAGCUUUAUUUUCUGUGAUUUCGUUACAGUUGGCGCCAAGAGUUGCAGAUUGUUCUAACAACACAACAAUAAGGUGCAUAGAUGAGUAAAGAGAAGCACUCCUCACUUUCAAACAUAGCGUGGUGGACGAACAUGGCAUUCUGUCUUCCUGGGGAAGUGAAGAUAACAAAAGAGAUUGCAGUGAAUGGAUAGGAGUCCUCUGUAGAAACAAAACGCGCCACGUAUACGCUCUUGAUCUUCAUCAACACGGGGCUCUAAAACUGAAAGGUAAAAUAUUAAGCCUUCUUUGCGUAAAUUGCAACAUUUAACUUAUUUGGACCUCAGUUUCAAUGAUUUCAGUGGAAUUCUGAUUGCUGACUGUUAAGGAAGCACACAAUGUGUGGAAGCAUUCUGCACACGUGUGAGUGGAAUCCAGUCAGCUGAAUUGGUUGAAGAAUGUAAUGCCAGCUCAGCAGAAGUUAGUUAAGCACACUAAGUUUCUGUUUCAGUUUGUUUUUCUCUUCUGUUAACUGCAAAUGAACUGAAUAUAAAUAAGUGCAUUUUGUAAUCAUUCUGUAAUUAGAGAAAAAGAAAUAAAUAUGAAAUUCUAGAAGCCUCUUUAUAAUUUUCUUAGCAAUCAAAACAUAUUUUCUUAGUAACCAAACAGAUUGAUCGUUGAAGUUUCAAGGCUUCAUACUCAUCCCUCAUGGCUUGAUGCCAAUUCUAAUCACUAAGAGCAAUCAAAACAUAUUUUCUUAUUUAGACCUUUGGUUUGAAGAUUCCAAACUUUGAUCUGGUAAUGAUUGGAUGAGAGGAUUGUGGGGGAAGAUUUCUGGUUUGAUUCUGAUAUGUGUUUUGUGGAAUAGAUGGUUGUGUUGGUAAUGUAUUUGGUUCAGUUUGUGGUUGUGUUGAUAAUGUAUUUGGUGAUGGUGAGGUUGAAGAUGACAAUUCUGAGAGUGUGUGUGGUGAAUGUUCCUGUUGAUUCAGAUUAUUUGUAUGUGUAGGAAUAGAAGACAUUUGUUCAUUCCUUGCUGAUCCCGAACCAGAAAGUGCGGGAAACGUCAAAGAAAACUUUAAAACCGCGAGGUUUAAAAGGCUUAAAACUUAAAGCGCUUAAACCACACAGUUUAUGUGUUUUCCCAGACGUUCCCGUGCUUUAAAAUUCUGGACUGGAACAUUUUUCAUAUAUAUAUAUGUCCUCAUGUCUGAUUAAGAUCCUCACAUGGUCUAAUGUGCUUCUGAGCAAAAUUCACUCAAAUUAACAAUUUUAUUUCUAGUUUAAAUAUUAUGAAAUGGGCCCUUUAACUUUAUGAGGAUCAGGUUAUGGCAUCCUUUUAUUUGUUGUUUAUCAAGUAUAACUGUCGAUUAUCAAACCAAAAUAAAAAUAAUAACGAUUUUUAUCCAAAAGAAAGUCCAGUCCGAGCUACUAAUCUUUCCUUGCAAAUUACCGAGAAUUGAUUUAAGUGCAUCAAGGCCUUUUCCUUCAAUCGCUUAAUAUUACUGAUUUCUAGCCCAUUAUCCUUGUUGUUUGAAACUAGUGUUCACAUUUCCAAUUUAUUGGGGGUUGAUAGAACUUUUGAUUUUGCAAGUGAAAAUCACCAUCUAUCAUGCCUUGUGCUGGUAAAAAUAAGCAUAUCUAAGAGCUUACUUUUUCAUUUGAUAGGAAUCCGAUUAAUCUGGUAUUUAAGUAGGUAACUUCCAAUAAUUAGAAAUUACUCUGUCUCUUCAAUAGAUACCAAUGAUUCAACGAGGUAAUGCUUGGGGUGUAUAGUGUUAUGACCAAAUAUACUUGAGCAAAGGUCGUUUCCUCAUUGUCGAGGAGCUGUCUGAUAUCUGUUAAGAUAUUUGAAUUGGUUAAUUACAGUUAGCUUAGCUUUCUGUUUAGUUAGUUAAGUGAAAUUGUUAGUAGUGCUGAUGUGGCAGUCCAGUCAGCUGAAUUUGUUAUGAUCGUUAGCUUUAAACAAACACAUUGCUCAUGUGCAGAGUGUAGAAGAUUCUAUAUAGACUCAUGUAUAAAUACUUGUAAUCCUGCUCAUUGGAGCUUAAGAUCAAUACAACGUUUUCACUCUGUUUUCUCUCUCAUUUUCUCUGCAACCAAACAACUCUUUUAUCUUUACAUGGUAUCAGAGCCAAAUUUGUAAGCUGAAAAAUGGCCUUAGCUCAUUCUAAUCAAAACGCAGUAACCUCUAUUUCUUCAUUUACGUUCACAUCACCAAUUAAACUCGAUUGAUCGAAUUAUACAAUCUGGAAGUCUCAGAUCCUUUUUUCAGUUCGUGCUAAUGGACUUGAAGAUCUUCUUGAUAGUUCAAAGUGCUAUCCAUAUCAAUUUCUUCCUCAAGAUUCUGAAGACUCAACUGAAACUCAGAUUAAUCCAGCCUUCACCGCUUGGAAGAGGAAGGAUCAAAUGCUGCUGAGCUGGUUGAUGUCAUCUAUUAAUCUCGAGAUUCUCAGCCUUGUGGUAAAUUCUGAAACCUCUCUUGAUCUGUGGAUAAGUCUUGAGCAGCAGUUUGGAUCUGAAACAUUUACUAAAAAGGUUCACCUAAAGAUAAUGCUUAACAAUCUGAAAAAAGGAUCAAUGUCUAUGACUGAUUUCUUUGGGAAACUAAAAUUGAUAACUGAUGAAUUAGCCAUUGCUGGAAAUCCUAUCAGCUCUUUAGAUUUCAUUACUCACCNNNNNNNNNNNNNNNNNNNNNNNNNNNNNNNNNNNNNNNNNNNNNNNNNNNNNNNNNNNNNNNNNNNNNNNNNNNNNNNNNNNNNNNNNNNNNNNNNNNNNNNNNNNNNNNNNNNNNNNNNNNNNNNNNNNNNNNNNNAUAAAGUUCAAAAUAUAUCUUACAUUAAUAUUGAUCCAUUACAAAGUCACAUUCAAAAUAUAAAUUAUUAAAAUAAUUAUCUUUGUCAAUGACUCCUGCUGUACCGUACAUCCGCCUUGGCCGUACAGCAGUUAUACACAAGGUCAGGGGAGAGGUAAUUGGAAUAAUAAUUGGAGUGAUAAUGGUAUGCAAACUGGAAACUAUCAAGGAAGAGGAUCAUUUCAAACUGGAAACUAUCAAGGAAGAGGUUAUGCUGGAAAUGGAGUUUAUGUUAGUGGCAAUGGCAAUGGUAACUUUGCCAGGAGUGGUGGAGGUUUUAAUAUUGGCAAGAAUUUCCUUGAUCCAAAUAUUGCCACUGUCACUUGUCAAAUCUGUUUUAAACCAAGGCAUACUACAGCUGAGUGCAGAAACAAGUUUAAUCGAGAUUUUGCUCCCUUUUAUCCAACCUUUGGCUACAAUCCAGCUCAGUCUCAAGUACCAAGAGCAGCUUUUCUUACAACUUCUGAAGGAGAAAUGGCAGAUCAAGGCUGGUAUAUUGACAGUGGGGCAACCCACCAUCUCACCAACAAUUUGCAAAAUCUGAAUCUUGGAAAAGAGUAUUCAGGUAAUCAGUUACUGCAUGUUGGUAAUGGUCAAGGAUUAUACAUCUCACAUAUUGGAUAUACCUGUUUAUCUACAUCAUGUGGCUCAUUUUUACAUUUGCAUGAUAUCUUAUAUGUUCCUCAGCUCACAAAAAAUCUGAUUAGCAUUUCCAAAUUACUUGAGAAUACCAAUUUAAUCAUUGAAUUUGUUGCAAAUAUGUGUUUUAUUAAGGACAAAAAGAGGGAAGUUCAUCUGGCUCAAGGGAUUGCUAGAGGAGGGUUGUAUCAACUGCUAUCAAAAAAUGACUUUGUCUCAAACUCUUGUAAUCUGACCUAUGGUCCUAGUUCUAUGCUUUCUAUUUUCAAUAACUCAACUUGUAAUCAUUCUGAUUCAGCUGAGAAUAAAAUUAUGGUCCUAGAUCUAUGCUUUCUAUUUUCAAUAACUCAACUUAUAAUCAUUCUGAUUCAGCUGAGAAUAAAGCUUGUAUACCUCAGUGUCAUACAAACACUGUCAAGUCAAUAAUGUCAGCAAACUUGUUUCAUCAACGUUUUGGUCAUCAUAGCAAGCAUGUAUUAAAAUGUAUUUUGUCUUCCCUGUCACUUAACUGCAAUGUUACUAUGCCUGAUUUCUGUGAUGCAUGUCAAUAUGGCAAAAUGCAUCAGCUUCCCUUUUACUCAACAGGCAUCAACACUAAAGCUCCCCUAGAACUUAUUCAUACUGAUCUUUGGGGUCCAGCACCAUUACCUUCCUCAAAUGGUUAUAGAUAUUAUAUAAGUUUUGUGGAUGACUACAGCAGAUAUUGUUGGAUAUUCCCCUUAACUCUAAAAUCCGAAGCUCUAGACACCUUCAAAUUCUUCAAAAACUUAGUUGAAAAACAAAUUGGGUGUCCUGUCAAAGCUUUACAAUCAGAUUGGGGGGGAGAAUAUAGGAAUUUUCAAUAGUUUCUUAAGGAAGAAGGGGUAGUUUUUAGGCAUAGCUAUCCUCACACACAUCAUCAAAAUGGUGUGGUAGAGAGGAAGCAUAGACACAUUGUAGAAACAGGGCUGACCUUGCUUGCUCAAGCCAAAAUACCCUUAUCCUUUUGGUGGGAAUCCUUUCAUACUGCUUCUUUUCUUAUAAAUCGAAUGCCAACACCCAUUUUAAAUAAUCAGUCACCCUUUACCAAACUCUAUGGCAGAAAGCCUAAUUAUCACUUUCUUAGAACUUUUGGCUGCUCAUGCUACCCUUUUCUCAAGCCUUACAGUAAGCACAAAUUCAAUUUUCAUACACAAAAGUGUGUCAUGAUUGGUUACAGUCCCAUACAUAAGGGGUAUAAGUGUCUUGACUCCUCUGGGAAGAUUUAUAUUGCUAGACAUGUGACAUUUAAUGAAUCUGAGUUUCCAUACUCAGAACUUUUUCCUUCCUAUAAGCCAAAUCACAAAAUACAGUUGAGUCAGUUUCUUUCUACAAAUUUCUCUCUUUCAGCAGUCAUUGAAGAUAUAAGCAACAUACAAUCCUCUCUCAGCUCUCCAAUUCCAAGUGCAGCUCCUGAUUCAAUUCAUUCUGAAACACAAUCUGUGCGAUAAUCUCCAAACACUUCAUCACAAAGCUUAGACUCCCAACCAUUAUUUGCUAAUCAGUCUACUCAGCUACAAACACAACCUUUAUCAACACCUGCUAUCCAAAACACCCAUUCCAUGGUCACUAGAUCAAAAGCUGGAGUGUUUAAACCCAAAACAUAUCUAGCAGCAGUCCAAGAGCUUGAGCCAUAUUCUGUAAAAGCUGCUUUAGCAGAUCCUAAGUGGAAGCAAGCUAUGCAAGAUGAAUAUGAAGCAUUGGAGAAAAAUGAAAUCUGGGUUCUGGUUCCCAAGGAGUCAGCAGGAAAGAUUGUUGGCAACAAAUGGGUUUUCAGAGUCAAGUAUAAAGCAAGACUAGUUGCAAAGGGGUUCCAUCAAACACAAGGUGUAGACUUCUUUGAAACCUUUAGUCCAGUUGUUAAGCAAUGCACAAUCAGAGUUAUUCUUAGCCUUGCUGUUAUGCAUAACUGGACAGUGAGACAGCUAGAUGUUAAUAAUGCGUUUCUCCAUGGCAUACUUACUGAAAAUGUCUUCAUGCAUCAACCUGAGGGCUUUGUUCAUCCUCAGUUUCCAUCACAUGUAUGUCAGCUUACCAAGGCCCUUUAUGGACUCAAGCAAGCACCCAGGGCCUGGUAUGAUAGAUUGAAAUCAUCUCUAUUGCAGUGGGGGUUCAUUGCUUCUAAGUCUGACACCUCAUUGUUUAUUCAUCAUGUGGGAGAAGACAUUGUAGUUAUACUUAUCUAUGUGGAUGAUAUCUUAAUAACUGGUUCUAACUCUAAGUUUGUAGAAGGAGUUAUAAAUAAGUUGGGGACAGAAUUUGCAUUAAAGGAUCUCGGAGAGUUUAAUUACUUUCUUGGUCUUGAAGUUACCCCAUCAGUUGAAGGAUUGCAUUUGUCACAAACUAAGUAUAUAGGAGACUUAUUGAAGAAAGCUCAGAUGUUAGAUUGCAAAGGAUGUCAAACUCCUAUGAGCUCAACAGAGAAGCUGAUUAAGAACAAAGGAGCCAUGUUUGAAAAUCCCUCACUUUACAGAAGCUUGGUUGGUUCUCUGCAAUAUGUUACUUUAACAAGGCCUGAGAUUGCAUUUACAGUAAACAAGCUUAGUCAAUUUCUUGCUUGUCCAUCAGUCUUUCACUGGCAGGCUUGUUAAAGAGUGCUGAGAUAUUUGCAGAAUACAACAAACUAUGGCCUGCAGUUCUACAGUUCUGGAUCUCUUAAUCUCACAGCUUUCUCAUAUGCAGAUUGGGGUUCAGAUUUGGAUGAUAGAAGAUCCGUAGGAAGAUAUUGUGUUUACUUGGGAAAUAGCUUGAUUUCAUGGUCUUCAAAGAAGCAACACAUAGUUUCCAAGAGUACUGCUGAGUCUGAGUAUAGAGCUUUAGCUCUAGCUGCAGCAGAGGUGCUAUGGAUUACUUACUUACUUAAAGAAUUAAAGAUGUCAUUACAGCAAACUCCAGUUAUCCACUGUGAUAACAAAAGUGCUGAAGCAUUAGCUAGUAAUCCAAAGUAUCAUUCCACGACUAAACAUAUUGAACUUGAUCUUCAUUUCAUUAGAGAACAUAUAGCCAAAAAGGAACUUCAGGUCAGCCAUGUUCCCAGCCAUGAACAAGUUGCUGAUAUACUUACAAAACCCUUGGCUUAUGAUCAAUUCAAUUAUCUGCGUUCCAAGCUCAAUGUUCUUUCUAGACCUUGAGCUUGAAGAAGAAUGUUAAGAUAUUUGAAUUGGUUAAUUACAGUUAGCUUAGCUUUCUGUUUAGUUAGUUAAGUGAAAUUGUUAGUAGUGCUGAUGUGGCAGUCCAGUCAGCUGAAUUUGUUAUGAUCCUUAGCUUUAAACAAACACAUUGCUCAUGUGUAGAGUGUAGAAGAUUCUAUAUAGACUCAUGUAUAAAUACUUGUAAUCCUGCUCAUUUGAGCUUAAGAUCAAUACAACGUUUUCACUCUGUUUUCUCUCUCAUUUUCUCUGCAACCAAACAACUCUUUUAUCUUUACAAUAUCCAAGUGUAGGAGUCAUAUGUUCAUUGUCGAGGAGCUAUCUAGUACGACUGUUAGAUGAAGCACGAGGAGACUGAAUGGUAGCUAUCAAUGGUAGCUAUCAACACGUGCAUUCUUCCCACUCGACAAUGGUUACGGUGCUCAUGUACUCACAAUGCAACACCUAAUGAAGUGACGAACAUGGGAUAAUAGAGAUCGAAUGUCCAGGCAGGUUAUAAAAGGGACAUUCGGAGAAGGUAAAGAGGUUAGACACUAUGAGGUAAAAUUUAUCUAAAAUUUAAUUCUCUUUGGCACUUUUUCUUCCCUCUUCUUGACCCUUUUUUCAAGAAUUAAAAGAUAAAAAAUCACAGAUAAGCCACGAGACUAGUGGCAUAGUUUUUCCUAAUCCCAGAUUGCUGACUUGAGUGUCAGAGGGUUUACACCAAAAAAACCUCAAGCGUCCUCUGACUGGCUGUUGUGCAUGCAGGAAGCUGCUGAUGAGAAGUUUAAGGCUCCAUUCUCUAAGAUAUCUCAACCUGGAGGAGAACAAUCUUGCUAAUUGUAGUGAUUGGUUUCAAGUAAUUGGCAAGCUCCAUUCUCUGAAAACCUUGACCUCGCACUCAUGUUAUCUUCGACCCGUUAUUCCUUUGUCUCUUAAUCACCUCAAUUUUAGUACAUCUCUUAAGACCCUUGUUCUCUCUUAUAAUAAUCUCACUUCUUCCAUAUUCCCUUAGUUGUCCAACAUCAGUAGCAAUUUUGUUUCAAUUGACCUUAGUUUUAACCAAUUACAAGGUUCAAUUCCAGAUUCUUCUCAACACAUGGUUUAUCUUGAACAUCUCAGUCUCAUGUUCAAUGAACUUGAAGGUGGGAUUCCCAAAUUCUUCGGAAACAUGUUAAACUUGUCUGAUAACAAACUCGGUGGAUAGCUCUCAGCAAUCAUUCAAAAUAUGUCGAGUGGAUGCUUGAAGAAUUCACUAGAGUCGCUGCAUUUAGAAGUCAAUCACUUCACAGGGCCAAUACCUGAUCUCGGAGGAUUUUCAUCCAUGAAAAGAUUAUAUCUUUCAGAUAAUCUUUUGAAUGGGACUAUAAACAAAAGCAUCGGUCAAAUAUUCAAGCUUGAGAUUACGUGUCUUUCCCAGAAUUCAUUGACAGGUGUUAUCUUUGAAUUUUCUUUUUUUCCCAAUAUCUCCAACUUGAAGGAAUUGCAUUUAGCUAACAACCCUUUGGUUUUGAAGCUGAGCAAUGAUUAGGUUCCUCCUUUUCAACUGAUUAUUACAAGUCGUUCCUCUUGUAAGAUAGGGCCUUAUUUUCCUAAAUGGCAUCAAACUCAGAAUCAAAUUGAGUUACUUGACAUCUCCAAUACUGGAAUCUCAGAUACUAUCCCUGAUUGAUUUUGGGAUCUAUCCAAUAAAUUCUCCUUUUUAGAUCUUGCUAACAUCCAGAUCAAGGGUAAACUUCCGGACUUGUCUUCAAGGUUUGGUACUUCUAAUCCUGGUAUAGAUAUUAGCUCAAACCAUUUUGAGGGUCCAAUACCACCACUUCCUUCAAAUUCUUCCUUCUUAAAUCUCUCUAAAAAUAGAUUCUCAAGGUCAAUUUCCUUAUGUUCUAUCAGCGGCAGCAAAUUGACGUACAUUGAUCUCUCCAGCAACUUAUUAUCAGGUAAGCUUCCCGAUUGUUGGUGGAUGUUUGAUAGUUUGGUCAUUCUUGAUUUGGGAAACAAUAGCUUCUCUGGUAGAAUACCAGACUCGAUGGGCUUCCUACAAAAUAUCCAAACACAGUUUACACAGCAACAGUUUAACCGGCGAACUGUCUUCAUCGUUUGGGAAUUGCUCACAACUCAGACUUUUGAAUCUUGGGAAGAACGCUUUGUACGGUGAGAUACCAACAUGGAUGGGGGAAAGCCUUUCAAAUUUGAUUGUUCUUAGCUUGAAAUCUAACAAAUUUCAUGGAAAAACACCUUUCCAGUUAUGCCAAUUUGCAUUCCUUCAAGUCUUGGAUCUUUCUUUAAACAAUAUAUCGGGAAAGAUACCAAAGUGUUUCAAUAAUUUUACUGCUAUGACCCAAGAAAGAAGUUCCGAUCCCACCAUUAAGGUGUACUAUUACACCUUUGUUGGCCCUCCAUAUGUACAUCACUAUAGCUUUCAGGACAAAGUCAUGCCGACAUGGAAAGGAAGUGGACGUGAGUACAGAAGUACUCUGGGGCUUAUAAAGAGCCUUGAACUUUCAAGUAACAAAUUAAAUGGAGCAGUUCCCGAAGAGAUAAUGGAUCUUGUGGGAUUGGUUGCCUUAAACCUUUCAAGAAACCAUUUGACUGGACAAAACUCUCCAAAGAUUGGUCAGUUAAAAUCAUUGGAUUUCCUCGAUUUGUCUAGAAACCAGCUUGUUGGCGGCAUUCCCUCGAGCCUUUCUCCGUUAAGUGUUCUGAGUGUCAUGGACUUGUCAUACAACAACUUGUCGGGAAAAAUUCCAACAGGCACUCAACUUCAGAGCUUCAAUGGCUCAGUGUAUGCUGGAAAUCCUGAACUUUGCGGUCUCCCACUUCCAAAUAAGUGUAGGGAUGAAGAAUCGGCUCCAGGGCCAGGCAUGACUGAAGGCAGAGAUGACGCGGACACUUCAGAAGAUGAUAUGAAGAUCAGUUUAUAACUCUCGGGUUUUAUGUGUCUUUGAUUCUUGGUUUCAUGUUGCGUUUUGGGGAGUUUGUGGCCCUUUACUUCGGAGUUAAUUAAUAAAUCGUAAAGGCUCCGUGUGACAGCAGCGAUGAAUAUUGCAAAACUACAACAACUAAACUUAAUGGUAAUACUACUUCACGUGUGGCGGUGUUUUAGUUCAUUAUGAUGAUUACAGAGGCUCACAUGCUUUUUCUUUCAUAAACUAAUGAUUCAUUGAUUUUUAUUUUUAUUUUCUCACCAAUUCUGGCAGGAGCAUUGUGUCUUUCUCGUAUCGUAUGGCAUUCUCUACAGAGAUCUCCUCCUAGCUUUCUAAAUAAUUAACUUAGUCUUCUCAUAUCAUACGUAUGUGGUACAUUAUGUAUAUGUUGGGUGAAUGCUUGAAGGAACUUCUGUAAUCUGUAUGUUUCUCUUUAGAAUUUAGAUCAUCAUCUAUAUAUGCCCAGUUAACGUUUUUAUUAAUAAUCCUUCUGUAAUUAUCACGAAAAAUGAAAUUCACUUGUGAAUGUGAUGAGACUGGUAUUUUCAAAAUACCAGCACUUUUUUUAGUUUUGGCAUUUGUUGAUUCACAAUGCCUGUCAGCUACUUUUUAAGGCAAAGCCAAAACCCCAACAAAGGAGAAAUUCUCUUUUAAUUUAUAACAAGCCAAGUAUGUGGUCUUCCAAACACACGGAAUGAGUCAAAUCAAUUUAUGGGCUAGUUGCAGUUGCAGAUUGUUUAAUUUUGAAUUGGAUUAAAUUUUAAUUUAAACUAAAUUAUUAUAAAUAAAGAAAAUUCCUAGGUGGCUGCAGAUUAUGUUGAUAAUUCAUAUAUAAUUUCUUAGUCUCUCCUCCUCUUUAGCUCUCUUCUAUUACACUCCGACAAUUAUGCGGCAUAAUUGUAAACAACAAGAAAAUGCUUUGCACCUACACAAAUUCACUUUGUCAAGAAAGUGGAGGUGGAGUGCUAAUAAUCUAAUUGUUAACUUUAGCUAUUAAUUAAUUAUUUCCACCAACAUUAAUAUAACUAUUGGCUCACAGAGCAGAUCAAGUGACCGCAUGUCUCUAUGCGCUUGUCCUAAACUCACAUGACAGCGGCUGCAGCACGUGGCUGAGAGUUUUUGUUGACAGUGGCAGCAGCAGCAGAUGACAGCAGCGAGAGCAGCAGCGACAAGCAGCAGCGACGAGCAGCAGCGAGAGCAGCAGCGACAAGCAGCAGCGACGAGCAGCAGCGACGAGCAACAGCGACAAGCAGCAGCGACAAGAAGCAGCGACGAGCGGCGGCGGCGACGAGCAAUGGGGACGAGAUUCCAGCGGCUGAAGGUCACGAGUUCGGUUUCGGUUGACGAUCAGAAGUGAUGUUUAGUUUAGACUUUAGGGAUUGCUGGAUUGUUAUUUGGUUUAUUUGAUAUUCGGUUCAGUUUUUCAGUUUUUUUUUUAAAUUGAAAACCGCACCGACUGGUUUUACUAUUUUCAUUAUAUUAUUUAUUCGGUUUUUUAGAUGUAAAAAAUCCGCACAAAAACCAAACCGAACCGAACGAUUCGGUUCGGUUUUUGAUUAAUCAGCUUUUUUUGCCCACCCCUAAUUAUGCUGCAUAUGCACUAUUGGUGGUUGUCGAAGCCUGCAAAAAUAAAUACAUACUCUAAAUAAAUUGUGUAUAGUGAUUGAGCAGGAUCAUGUCCACAGAGAUCGGUAAUUAUUUAAAUUCUUUUAAAAUGUAAAAUGCAAAAUGGGAGGAUUGUUGACAAUAAUAAAAAUCAAAUUAAAAUAACAAGAAUGCAAAUUAAAAUUGUAAUUAAAAUUGUAAUUAAAAUUGGGAAAAGUUCUGGUUGAAGGAAUUAAUUCAGCUUGAUUCGACUACUGAUCAUUGAUUCAAAUAUAAAUCAUUACUACUUAUGAAUAAACCGGUUAUAGCUACUGAUAGGGAUGGCAAUGGGGAGGGGAGGGGAGGGGAGGGGACCAAUCUCCCCAUACCCAUCCCCGAUAUUUUGUUAUGUCCCCGUCCCCUCCCCGUCCCCGUCAGAAUUACUUAAGUGAAUCCCCAUCCCCUCCCCGAAUACUAACAGGGGAUCCCCGAGGGUCCCCGGUCCCCGAAUAAUUAAUAGUCUAAUACAUUUUUUUUUUCGAUUUUAAAUUAAUCAUAUUAAAAUAAAAAAUUCAGAUAAAAAUAAAGUUCAAAAUAUAUCUUGCAUUAAUAUUGAUCCAUUUCAAAGUCACAUUCAAAAAUAUAAAUUAUUAAAAUAAUUAUCUUUGUCAAUGACUCAAUCUUCAUAAUCCUACAAUAAAAAGAAAAAAAAUUAUUUUUAUAUCGACAAUAAAAUAAAUGUAGAUACUUAAUUAAUAUUUUUAAUAAAACUAUUUACCUCCUGCUCCUCCAGUUCUUCCUCGAGAAAUGUGGCAAAUUGAGAGCUAACCUCAGAUUUCAAACCUAAAACAAUGAAAAUGAUAUAAGUAACGUAACUUAUAAGCGCAAAUAUUAAUAACUGUAUAAUAUAAUUACAAUGUAAAAUAAACUCAUACUGCUAUUGUAAGCUCGUAACCAACUUUGACAGCAUAUUAAGGCCUCCAAUGUGCUUGGAUGAAGUUUGUUACGGUGUGAGCUCACAACUCUACCACCGGUGCUAAAAGCUGAUUCAGAAGCAACUGUUGUAAUUGGAAUUGCCAAAAUAUCUCUAGCAAUUCGAGCUAAUGUAGGAUACGAAUUAGGAUUAGAACUGUUGUAAAUUAUAAUUAGGCAGCUCUCUCCUGUAUCAUUGUGGUUUGGAUUAAAAAUUUAAGACUUUAAUUAGUUAAUUAAGUUUAAAAGUUUAAUAAUAUAACUAUUUUAAUAUUUAUUAUUUUUAACAAUAUUUAUAAUUUUGUUAUUUAUUUAUUAGUAAUUUUAAAAAUAAAAAUAAAAUUAAAAAUUAAAAUGGGGAAAUGGGUAGGGGAUGGGGAUUCCACCUCAUCCCCGUCCCCUCCCCGAAUAAAAAAUUGGGUAAAAAAUUUUCCCCGUCCCCUCCCCGAAUAAAAAAUUGGGUAUAAAAUUAUCCCCGUACCCUCCCCGAAUGGGGAAAAUCCCCGAGGGUACCCGUCCCCGUGGGGAUUUUUGCCAUCCCUAGCUACUGAGACCCUUUAAUAGCCAAUCUCUCUUUAACUAGUCGAUAACUAAGGUACGACCAUUGGUUAUUUCCCUAAUUAAUAGAUAACCCUAGAUACAAUCAUAGGAUUUAAUUAAUUGACAACCUGAAAAAUCAGAGAGACCCAAAUCCUAAUCAACAAACGCAUACGAUGGUUCAUUUAAAUUAGAUUGUUUAUUCUCAUAACACAACGCACUGCUAUGCUAUUUGUCACAAAUAUUAAAAUCUUCAUACGAUGAAUCUUUUAAUUGACAAUAGAUUAAGUUGAUAAUUAAAUAGUGGCCAAUUAUCUAAUUAACAAAUAUAAUCAUGACAAUAAUUUAGAGAAUAAACAAAUACCCAAAAAGCAAUAAAACAAUUAAAGCAUAAGAAAGAUCUCACAGUAAUGAUGAACCAAAGCUUUAUUAAUCUUCAACCAGAAUAAUAGGUUUAGUUCUUCAUAGAGAGAAGAGAAAAAUUUAGAUCUAGGGUUUCUUUUUCUUUCCCCUUCAAAAAAUCUACCCCCUUUGUUUUUCACGUCCCUUUUCUUUCCUAGCUUUUCCAAAAAUAAAAUACUAAUAUCUAAAGUAUUAUCUAAAUAUUAAAUUCAAAAUUACAAAAAUAACCAAAAAGAUAAAACACGUUAAAAUAAAAACUGCAGGUCCUUAGUUGACAACACGCGCCCACGCCUUAUUAACAAAGUUUUUCUGAAGCUCAUAAUUUUUUCAGGAAAACAAUCAUCCUCAAACAUCAUCUUGUAGCUCAAUUUUAGCACCAAUCAAUAGAAUUGCACCUACAAAAAUAAAACACAAAUAAAUCAUUGUUAUUAAGAGCAAAACAUUGAUAUUAAAGGAAGUAAACAAUGCAAAACUAGUGCAUAAAUUGCACUCUAACAACCAUAUUACGUUUAAUAUUUGAUGUUCUAAAUUGUACUCCAACCACUCUGCCAGGAAACACGAUAAUAUAUUUUACUUUCGUUGUUCUGAAUCGCACUCCAUUUAAUUGACUUCUCAUUUUAUAUAUAAGUAUUUUAAAAAAAAUAUGUAGACAUCGUGGAUGGAUCUAUGGGCCAUUUAUGUAUUAUGAUAGCUUUUAAAAGGAAAAUUAUCACUGCACCAUAUUUUUUUUGCCUUAUGUUCAUUCAACCAUUACAAAAUUCUAACAUGUUCUCUGUAUCAUCUUUCUUUUUAAAUUUGUAUCAAUUAACCACUUUUGCCCUAAUACUCUUAAAUAAUUUAAACGAAAUGACAAUUUUACCCCUAAAUAAAUUAAAAGACCAUUUUAUCUUAUAAAAGUUUGAAAAAUAAAAAAAAUUAUAAUUAUAAAAAUACCCCUAAAUUUUAAAAAAUAAAUCCAAAAUAGAGGUGCUUAGUUGAUUUUUAUUAAAUUUAGAUUUUGCAAAAUUUUAAUUAUUAUUUUUAUUAAAAAUUUAUAAUUUUCAAAAUUAUAAUAAAAAAUAACUGAAUUUAUUUAUUAAAAAUUAUAAUUUUGUAAAAUUUUAUUAAAAUAACUGAAUUUAUUUAUUAAAAAAUAAAUAUUCAAAUAGGGGUAUUUUUAUAAUUAUAAUUUUUUUAUUUUCAAAACUUUUACAAGAUAAAAUGAUCUUUUAAUUUGUACAAAUAAUAAGUUGUGGAAGAAUUAAUUAAAUGUUUAUAAGAAUGCAAGUUAUUGAAAUGAAUAUAAUGCUGAAUAAAAUUUACUUGCACAUUUAUAAGCAUGCAUAAAUAAUUUUUUUUGUAUUUUAUUAAUUUUAUUUAUGUUAUUUUGUUAUCUCAAUAUAAAUGGUGAUAAUAAUAAUCUCUUUAAGUGCCUGUUUGAUAUGACUUAUUUAAUGGUUAUAAGUGUUUAUUUAAUCUCAUAAGCUCUAAUCAUAAUAUUUGUUAUUUUUUAUUGCUUUUUUAAUAGAGCAUUUGAAGCUUAAAUAAAAUGUUUUGCCUUUACUAGUAAAAGCUUAAAUUUUGGAUUUUUGAGAGUAGAUGUUGAAAAAUUAUUUUUAAAUAUUAAAAUAUCUAAAAUAUCCUCUAUUUAUUUAAUAAUCUUAUUUUAUUCUUUUCAUAACAUAACUUUAAAAAGUUUGCUUAUUAAAGUAAUUUCAUAAAUUUUUAAUAAAAGCUCUUAUUGACAACCAAACGACUAAAAUUUUUUAGGUAAAAGCUCUAUUAAUAAAUACUCUAAUUAAAUAAAUUUUACUAGAAAAGUUGUACCAAACGGAGCCUACAAUAAUGAUAAUAUUUCCUUAUUGAGUUAGAAUAAUUUUAGAUUUUUAUAAUAUAUGUAAGGUUAUAUAAAGAAUAGUAUUAAAUAUAAAUGAUAAUAAGGAUAAUUUUGGCUUUUACCUAUCGUACGCUUGGCACAACUGAUUUCUACACCCCGAUUAUCGCUGCCGUUUCAUAUUAAUUAAUAGGAAAUAAUGUUGUUAAAGUGGGUGGUCGCUUCGCAGGAUUCGUACAAAAUGUGAACGAAGAAGAGAAUUUCCCAAGAAAACUGUCAGUAAAAGUUAAAGGAUUCAAGACUAGAGAUGCUAAGCUACAUACGUACAAAGUAAUAAUAAUAAUAAUGGAAGACAAAACAUAUACAUAUUAAUAGACUUGUUGACUAGUAAAUUUUUUAAACGGAUGAUGAUACUAAUAACUAAUAUUCAAACCAGAAUAAUGUUACCAAUAAAGUAGGUGGAAGGUUCGCAUGAUUCACGAUCAUUGGUACUGAAAUGUGAACGAAGGGAAUUUUACAAGAUUUGCUCUUACUCUAUUCGAUCUUUUUAUUAAUCAAAUUUCUAUGUAGAUGACAUAUAAUGAUAAUAAAAGGCUAAAAUAUUGUUUUCGUAGAAGACUAUUGACAUCAGUGAAGACUCUGUUGUUGAUAUACAAGUAUUAAUUGGCCUGGAUUCCUGAGGUUUCAGAUAUCAAGCAUUGAAAACAAAUAUUCACAAUGUCAUCCAAAUGGUUCCUUUUACUUCAAUAUAUAGCUUUCUGUUCUGUGAUUUUGUUUCAACCGCAGCCAAGAGUUGUAAUUGCAGAUUCUAACAAGACAAGGUGCAUAGAUGAGGAGAGAGAGGCACUUCUCACUUUCAAAGCUAGCCUGGUGGAUGAAUCUGGCAUUUUGUCUUCAUGGAGACGAGAAGAUGAGAAAAGAGACUGUUGUAAAUGGACAGGUGUCGGCUGUAGCAAAAGAACCGGCCAUGUAAACAAGCUUGAUCUUCAACCAAUCGGUUUUGACUCAUUUCCUUUGAGAGGUAAAAUUACUCCCGCUUUGCUCAAAUUGCAACAUUUAACUUACUUGGACCUCAGUCGGAAUAAUUUCAGUGGAAGUUCAAUUCCCGAGUUCCUUGGUUCCCUCGGCAAAUUGAGCUAUCUCGGUCUCUCUAGUGCUGAGUUUGCUGGACCAAUUCCUCAUCAGCUUGGAAACCUUUCAAGGUUGCAAUUUCUUGACCUCAGCUUCAAUAAUUUGUUUAGUGGUGAGAAUCUUGAUUGGCUUUCUCAUCUUUCUUCUUUAAUUUAUCUUUACUUGGAUUUGAACGAUCUCAGUAAUUUCAGCAACUGGGUUCAACUACUCAGCAAGCUCCAUUCCCUAACAACCUUGUCCUUGUACUCGUGUGAUCUUCCACCAAUCAUUCCUUCAUCUCUUUUGAACCUCAAUUCUAGUAAUUCUCUUGAGGUUAUUGAUCUCACCGAAAACAAUCUCACGAAUUCAGUAUACCCUUGGUUGUUCAAUGUUAGUAGCAGUCUUGUUGAUCGUAUAAGCCUUCCUUCUAACCAAUUACAAGGUUCAAUCCCAGAAGCUUUUGGACGCAUGGUGUCUCUCAGAUAUCUCGAUCUCUCUUCUAAUGAAUUGAGAGGGAUUCCAAAAUUUCUUGGAAAUAUGUGCGGUUUAAAAAUAUUAUACUUGUCUGGCAAAGAACUCAAAGGGCAGCUCUCUGAGUUCAUUCAAGAUUUGUCUAGUGGCUGCACAAAGAACUCACUGGAGUGGCUGCAUUUAUCUUCCAAUGAAAUCACAGGGUCAAUGCCUAAUCUCGGAGAAUUUUCAUCUUUGAAACAAUUGAAUCUUGAAAAUAAUCUUUUAAACGGGACUAUACACAAAAGCAUUGGCCAAUUGUUCAAGCUUGAGAUGUUGAAACUUAAUGGAAAUUCACUCGGAGGUGUCAUCUCCGAAGCUUUGUUUUCAAAUCUUUCCAGGUUAGCGGCAUUGGACUUGGCAGAUAACUCAUUGACGUUGGAAUUUAGCCAUGAUUGGAUUCCACCUUUUCAACUGAAUACUAUAUCUCUUGGCCAUUGCAAGAUGGGGCCUCGUUUUCCAAAAUGGCUUCAAACUCAGAGUCAAAAAUUUUUCGCUUGAUAUCUCGAAUGCCAAAAUCACAGAUACUGUCCCAAAUUGGUUUUGGGAUCUUACUCAUCAACGAAUGCUUUUAAAUCUCUCAAGCAACCAGAUGAGAGGUAAAGUUCCAGAUUUGUCUUUGAGAUUUGAUAUUUCUGGUCCUGGUAUUGAUAUUAGCUCAAACCACUUUGAGGGUCCAAUUCCACCACUUCCUUCAAAUGCUACAUCCCUAAAUCUCUCCAAAAAUAAAUUUUCAGGAUCCAUUUCCUUCCUAUGUUCCCUCAGUAACAGAUUAAUAUAUCUUGAUCUCUCAAAUAACUUACUAUCAGGAAAGCUUCCUGAUUGUUGGUUCCAAUUCGAUAGCCUUGUCAUUCUUAAUUUGGCUAACAAUAACUUUUUUGGUAAAAUACCAAACUCAAUGGGCUUCCUACAUAAUAUCCGGUCAUUGAGUUUGUACAACAGUAACUUAACUGGCGACUUGCUUUCAUUUCUAUGAAUUUCUCACAACUGACACUCAUGGAUCUUGGGAAGAAUAGAUUAUCAGGAGAGAUACCCACAUGGAUAGGUGAAAGCCUUCCGAAAUUGGUCGUUCUCAGUUUAAAAUCUAACAAUUUCCAUGGAAAUAUACCCUUUCAGUUAUGCCAUCUAUCCUACAUUCAAAUCUUGGAUAUUUCUUCAAACAAUAUAUCGGGAACCAUUCCCAAGUGUUUCCACAAUUUUACCGCCAUGACUCACACAACAAGUUCCAAUCGCUCCAUUACCUCCUACUAUCACUACAAUCUUGGCGAUGAAAACGUGCAAAUGCCGGGAAUCUAUUUUGACACAACAUAUUUGACAUGGAAAGGAAGUCAAUACGAGUACAAAAGUACUCUGGGACUUGUAAAGAUCCUCGACCUUUCAAGUAAUAAGUUAGGUGGAGGAGUUCCUAAAGAGAUUAUGGACCUUGUGGGAUUGGUUGCCUUGAACCUUUCGAGAAACAAUUUAACUGGACAAAUCACUCCAAAGAUUGGUCAGUUAAAAUCAUUGGAUUUCCUCGAUUUGUCUAGAAAUCAGUUUUUUGGCGGCAUUCCUUCAAGCCUUUCUCAGUUAAGUGGUCUCAGUGUCAUGGACUUGUCAUACAACAACUUGUCGGGCAAAAUUCCAUUGGGCACUCAACUCCAAAGCUUCAAUGAAUUGGUGUAUGCUGGAAAUCCUGAACUUUGCGGCCUCCCACUUCGAAAUAAGUGUCCGGAUGAAGACUCAGCUCCAAGUCCAGAGAGAGAUGAUGCAAACACUCCAGAAGGGGAGGAUCAGUUGAUAACUUUUGGGUUCUACGUGAGUGUGAUUCUUGGUUUCUUUAUUGGAUUCUGGGGAGUCUGCGGCACUUUACUGGUGAAUACUUCGUGGAGACAUGGUUACUUCAAAUUCCUAACCAGUGUGAAAGAUUGGGUCUAUCUGAUAACAGUUGUGAAUAUUGCCAAACUGCAAAGAAGGUUCAGGGAUUAAACGGUAAUACUCAUUCACAUGUUAAGUGGGUUUAAUUUAUGAUAUAGUUGGCUCACUUCUUAUUGCUUCACAUAUUUUUCUUUCCCAAACUGAUGCCUCCUUUUUUGGUUUCUUUGCUUUCACUGGUUCUUGCAGGAGCAAUUAAAUCUGUCUCUCAGAUGGCAUUCCGUCUUUCUUGCUCGGAGUUUACGUUCCAGGGUCAAAAGCUUUGUAACUAAUGUGUGCUUGAAGGAGCUUGUAUAUUGUUCUGUUUAGCCCAUGUUCUACUCUUACACAUAAGCUUUGGCGAACGUUUGAAAUGUAACCCGUCGUCAAAUUGUCCUCUGUUAUGGAUCAAUAUGUUUUAUUUUCAAUUUGCUUGGGUGAAUAAACCUUUUGAUUAUUGCUGAGUACAAAUCAGCUCUCAUGCUUUCUGCUGACUAUAAGCAUAUCUUAAAGUGUAAUUUCGAAUAUCAAACUGUUUUCAACUGAUUUUGGGGUAGGAAAAUCCAAAAUCAAUCUAGAACAAUAAAUUUAUAUUUUUGGGGGAGAUGGGGUACCUCACUAGUUUAUUUUGUGCGGUGCGGUGUAUCUGAAAUUCGGGGGAGGUGAGAGGGGGAGAAAGAGUGGUAACAAUGGUGAAAGGUCAGAAACGAGAGAGGUGUCCUUCCAAAUGAGUUUCACGCCUGCAAAACAGUGAAAUAGAGGUUAGAGGUGAAGCCGGGGUACCCCGGCGUUCACACUCCGACGCUCAAGUUAGCAAACUCAAGCUUUAAUGGUAAAGAGAGCUGGCCAGCCCUCUGUAAAUUUAGGGUUUAAGGUUGAAGAAAACCUAUUUUUUGGAGUGUGAGUGUUAAUGGUGAGUGAGAGCCUGGUGGAGAGUGAAACCUAGGCGCCUUUAUAUAUGGAGUACCUUAGCUGCCACGUGGCGUACCCCUUUUUGGCUAACGUCCUUUUACCUCUUUAUAAUUUUUUGGGCCGUUAUCUGCAUGUUCGCGGCAUAUCUCAUCUUUUGGAAACGUGGCGCGCGCUGGAGAGUGGUCCGGGGUACCUCUGCAGUAGCUGUCGGGUAGGCGGCUAGGGACCACUGUCCUUGGAACAGUGUCCUUCACUUUUGGCAGAGGUGGCAGGCGGCUGUCCCUCCUUUUAGCACGUCAUUUUUUAUCCUUAAUUCUGACAAAAUCGAAUAAUAUCUUUUAGGAGGCGGAGGCGUUUCUCAUGGCGGAUAUUUUUUGGAGAUACCUCGAGUUACGUGGGGUACCUCUAAUUGUACGAGGUACCUCUAUUUGUGUGGGGUACCUCUAUUUGUGUGGAGUACCUCUAAUUAUGCGGGGUACCUCAAAUUGUGCCGGAUUCAUUCCAUUGGUUGACACGUGGCGCUCUAUUGACUUUCCUAUUUUUCCCUCAAACAACAUCCCCCUAGUUUCUUUUUGGCGAGAAGUAUUGGAGGCAAAAGAAACUCAUUGUAUGAGUGACACAUGGCGACGCGGCUGGACCGGAGGGUACCUUGCUUAGCUUCUUUCCUUGACUAAACUUUGUGUACUUCAAACUAAAAAUUUUCUCUUUGUCUAUUCCUUUUCCCGCUUUUUUUUUUUUUUUGACGAUGAGAAUGAACAGUUUUCUUCAUGUGUCUUUUUCCUUUUUCUUGGGAAGUGGCAGUCGUCUGACAUGUAGUUUGAAUUUUGAAAAUAUCAAUCUCACACAAACAUCCAUGAAUUCUUUUCUCGGGCAGCGUGUUCUGUCAGGUUGAAUUAAAACUCCUGACUUGUGUCAAUCUUCUCUCACUUAUUUUGAAAAUCCCCAAACGAACUCCCAAAAUUUAAUUUUUUCCAGUAGCCUUUUUCUUCUAUAAUUUCGUCUCUUCUUCUAACUGCAUCAACAUUAUCACAGGUAAAAACAAAAAUUUCUUUACUCUUUUUUUUUUUUUUACUUUCGUUCGUCUUCCCCUAGGUUUUAUUCUUUCUUCCCUCUUUUUCUUUCUGCUGUACCGUACAUCCGCCUUGGCCGUACAGCAGGGCCGCUCAACUGUUCGAGCGCAAUGCAGUUUUCUCUUCUUUUCCUUUCUUCUUUCUUCUUUUUUUUUCCUUUCUCUUUCUCUCUCGGUCGGCGUUGAUCCGGUGCGUUUUCCGGCGUGGACCUCGGCUGCUGCAGUGGCGGUUUUGGGCUCCAGAUCUGGUCGGUUCAAGGCGAUUUUUCGGCGUCUCACGGCGAGAUCUUGGUCCGGUGAUACACACGGUAAACCUCCCUCCUUGUGUCUUCAUUUUAUCUUGCGUUCUCUCUCUUAUUUCUCUCUUUUUUGCGAUCUUCAGCGCCGGAUUUGGUGGUUGCAGCCAUGGCAGCCGGUUCUUCUUAAUGGUUGUAGCUUCUCAGUUUUCUCUUCUUCUUUCUCUUUUUUUUUUGUUUCGAUCGGUGCUUUUCUCUGUGAUUUCCGGCGUCGGUUUGGUGUGGUUGCAGUCCCCCCUUCCGUGUUGUCUUCUCUGUUCUUCAUUUUUCUUUUUUUUUUUUGGCCGGCGUCCUCCUUUGGUGGUUUCCGGCAUCCUUCUCGUGAUCUCCAGCGUCGGUUCUCGGUGGUUGCAGCCAUGACAGCCGACGCCGGUUGCUGCAGCUUCUUCGUUCUUCAUUUUAUUUAUUCAUUUAUUUAUAAAUAACUAUAUAUAUUUAAGCUUAUUUUUAUUUUUAUACUUGCAUAUUUUUACCCACUAUUUUUGGUUGCCUGCAGCUUCAUUUCGCCGCGAUUAUCAAUCCCGAUCUGCUAAAUUGGUGAAUCACAGGUAUCCCUCCUCGCUUCUCCUCCUUUGGCGCAUUCACAGUGACCCUAUUUUGCAUACUCUGAGAAAAUUUUAUUUUUGGUUUUUUGUUGUUUUUUGUUUUGUUGGUUGGUGUUUGCAUUUGGUGGUUGAUGUGUGGUGGAUGGUGCUUGGUAUGGAUAUAUUGCUGUUUGGAAAACAUGUGGCUUGUGGAUGUGUUGUUGGGUGUAUCGUUUGAAAGGGAUGGUUUGUCGCUGAGGGUAAGUGGGGGACAGAGACUCUGGGUGAGAAGGGCGACCCCGUGGAGGUUCCCCAUUCAUUCAAUGUAAACUGUAAGUAUCUCCCUUACUUAUGGUUCUUUAUCAGAAUCUUUCGCCUGAAUGUCUCGCUAACCUUGAGUUCUUUAUGCUUUCGCAGGUGUGACAUGGGCUAAAGGAUCAUGCCCAGUUCAGGAGGUGGGGAGAGAGGUGAAGAAAUUUGUGGACAGGCUUCGAGGUGCACAAAGGGGUAGUGAUGUGCUAGAUGAGAGCCGAUUAUGGAGAGCGGGGCUGAUUGACCGAAGUCCUCCGCCUGCUCCUGGGGGUGACUCAUGUAUGAUUUGGGUGUCGGGGGGUAUCCUAUUGUUACUUAUGGGACUGGGGUACCCCAUUAUCAUUGCAUUCUUCGUUUCGCUUCCCCGCUUUCCAUUUCCUAUUUUUUACUUUUGCAGUACUUAGUACUUGUCCAGCUAACAUAACUUUUGUGCAUUGGGUGCAGUCAUGGAAUCGACGGGUGAUGCUUUUGACGCCUUCUUCCAAGCGGUGGUUACCUCCAAGGUUGCUGAAGAGGUUGACAAGAUGAGCUUGAGCCAGCGUUACGGUCAAGCACUUAGGGCUACCCAAGAGGUAGGCUUUCUCGGGGUACCCCGGGUGUACUCUUCAUCAUUUUCUUUUUACUUAUUUAAUCUUUUUGUCAUAUACAUAUAUUUAACAUGUCUUUCAUGACCCGCAGGCAUCCUUUCUCCUAAGCCACUGCCUUCCGGAUCUCAACUCCCUUGUUGUCGCACAGUCAGAGGUCGACAAGUUAAGGAGUGAGCUUCAAAGCCGUCAAUCUCGUGAGGAUCAGCUCGCUCGAGAAGUUAAAACUCUACAAGAAUGCAUUGCUGGCCUAUCGGGAGAGAAAGCUAGGGUGGAGAAGGAUUGUGAGGAGUUGAGGGCCACUAACGGGGAUCUGAUAUCUCGGCAAAAGACGAUGGCGGAGGAUGCAUUCUCACUCAUCAUGACGGAGGUGUGGAGUGUGGAUCCGGAGUUGGAGGUACCCCGGGUGCAGAAAUUUGUCAACAAGGCUACGAUUCUAAAGACAAUUGCAGAGAGGAAGAAGCCUUCCCAACCACGGUCGGGUACCCCUUCCGGGUCGCCUAGGGUACCCCAUCAGCUUCAGCUGUUGCCUGCUUCGGAUGCCCCUACUUCGGCUGCUCAUAUUCCGGGUACCUCGGAGUCCUCUGCUGAUCUCCCUCUGGAGACGGAUGUUGGGGAUGGCGUUCCCCCCUCGGUGUAGCCUUCUCACUAUGCUCUUGUUUUUUCGGACCUAUCCACAUUUUGCUAUUUGGACCUUGUUUCUUUCUUUUUGGUUUCUCGGGAUAUUUUGUAUUAUUGGGACUUCUCUUUUGUUAUGAUACCAUGCCAUCGAGUUCUCUUGUACUUUGUAUGCUUGUUAUUCUGCCAAUGAAUGCUUGACUAAACUGUUACCUUGUAAAUGUCUAGGGUACCUCUCAUUUUUUUUGAAAUGGGGUACCCCUGGUACCUUAACAAAUAUCCAACAUCAUGGGGAUUCCCUACAAAUGUGGUGCAUGUCCUUCUCAGAAACUAUGGCGGAUUCCCCACAAAUAGGUAAUCAAAAUAUCAUCGCAACAUCUCGAUCAAACGUUGAAAGCUACAAAUGUGGUGCAUGUCCUUCUCGNNNNNNNNNNNNNNNNNNNNNNNNNNNNNNNNNNNNNNNNNNNNNNNNNNNNNNNNNNNNNNNNNNNNNNNNNNNNNNNNACAUCUCGAUCAAACGUUGAAAGCGCAAUUGGUCCAACCAAUCACUUUCUUAUUCUUUCGAAGUUUUCUCUGAAUUUUUUAAAUAGCCUACCCCAUACUUUGUAAAAGUACGAGGACGGAGGUGUGGGUGUUCUCAUACCUAAGCCGAACUUCGUGCCGCUAGGGUAUGCCGGUUUUUCUUCACCCUCGGGUCCUCUUUGACCCUCCAUUUCUUUGUCUAGGUAGCUUUAUCAUGCUUCCGCAGAAAGGCUACCCCCGGGCUGUUCCCUUCGUUGCCCAUCUUGGGUUUACAUAGAUCGUCACGAUCUAGGCAUAUCAGGUACCCUGGCUGGUCCUGUGAUAAGUUAGUCAUAAUUGACAAACGUAUGGCGAGAAUUGCAUAUUACCAGAUGCGAGGGUAUAUUAAUGGCGAUAAAUGAAUAUAAUCCGCACUCUAAGAUCGAAGUGGAGAAAAAUAAAUAAAGAACCCACACCAUAUUUGUUGAGAAAGAACAUGCAUUUAUAGAUAACGAAAGCGUUGAUCAAUACAUGACUUAGCUUUGUUACCCUGAUGAGAAUGGGAGACCGCAAGACCUCCUAUCCCUUUCAUUUGACAAUUAAAGAAACUCUAAAGUUGCAACUGACCAACAUAGGGCAUUUGGGGUACCCCAUUUGGCCUACCACACAAAAACAUUAAAGAAAGCAAAUAACAGCAAAAGACUAAAGGUUGAGACACUGUCCUUUAGUAAUAUUUCCGUAGCAUUGCAGCGUUCCAGGGGUGCCUCACAAUUGUGCCAUCCAUGUGGAGUAGCCUGUAUGCACCUGUCCCAACGGGUUUGUCGAUGCAGUAAGGUCCUUCCCAAUUUGCCCCAAAAGCACCUUCGCAGGGUACCCUAGUGUUAUGAGUUACCCUUCUCAAGACCAAGUCUCCUUUCUUGAAGGAUCGAGGGCGUACCCUUUUUUCAUAUAGACCCGAAAUGCGAUGCUGAUAUAUGGUUGUCCUCAGUUCUGCUCUAGCCCUUUUUUCAUCCACCAAAUCAAGGUUUGAAGCAACCAAUGAGGUGUUCUCGGCCUCAUCGAAGUAUUCAACCCUGUGAGAGGGUACCCCGAUUUCUGCUGGAAUCACUGCGUCAACACCGAAUGCGAGGGAAAACGGGGUCUCCCUAGUGGAGGUGUUUUGAGUAGUCCGGUAUGCCCACAGUACGCCAGGUAGCUCGUCUACCCAUGCUCCCUUUCUUUCUUCUAGCUUCUUCUUCAGGAUACCUUUGAUAAUCUUGUUAACGGCUUCGACUUGCCCAUUAGAUUGGGGGUGGGCAGGUGUAGCAAAUCGGUUGGCUAUCCCCAACUCCGAACAAAAGCUUCAAAAUUUUUCAUUAUCAAAUUGCUUACCGUUAUCACUGAUAAUUGCAUAGGGGAUUCCAAAUCUGCAAAUGAGGUUCUUCCAAAUGAAUUCGGUGGUUUUCCUUUCUGUGAUGCUUGUUAGUGGCUCCGCUUCCGCCCAUUUUGUAAAAUAAUCUACCGCCACGAUUGCAUGUUUUGCUUGCCCCUUCCCGGUAGGUAACGGGCCAAUGAGGUCCACUCCCCACAUAGUGAAGGGCCAAGGAGAAGAUAUAACUGUUAGCUUCUCUGGGGGUAGGUGGGGUACCCUAGCGAACCUCUAGGAGAUCAAUGCUGGGGGCGGGUAUGUGUUCUAUUGUGAUGGGGCCAGCUGACUGAGCUACACCAAGGGACGCCAUUUUUGCUAGGGUAUCAGCUUCGCUGUUCUCCAGUCGAGGUACCCUUUCCACUUUAACCUCGCAAAAUUGGGAUAUCAACUCUCUGGUUUUUUCGAGGUACCCCUUCAUGUUUUCCUCUUUCGCUUGAUAUUGUGCGGUAAUCUGGCUUACCACCAACUGUGAGUCACUCUUGACGUGUACCCUUUUUGCUCCCAAAGCCUUUGACAUCCUCAACCCCGCUAUGAUUGCCUCGUACUCGGCUUCGUUGUUUAAGGCCUUGAAUCCGAAUUGUAGGGCGUAGCAUAAUUUCACCUUGUUCGGGUCGAUUAUAAUAACUCCCACGCCACUUCCGUGCGAGUUAGAGGAACCAACCACAUAUAUUUUCCAGACCUGCUCCUCUUCAUCGGUAGGUGGGGUAUCUAACAGGUAUCUCAAAUCACAUUCACCACUUGAGUCAUUGGCGAAUUCCGCAAUGAAAUCAGCAAUGGCCUGAGCUUUAAUCGCCGAACGAAGCUUGAAGAUGAUGUCGAACUCGCUUAAUUCGAGGGACCAUCGGAGAAGCCUUCCGGACAUGUCUAACUUCUGAAGGAUUUGCCGGAGGGGAAGGUUGGUGACGACUGCAAUGGUGUGAGCCUGAAAAUAUGGUCUGAGCUUCCGUGCGGAGACAACCAAUGCCAAAAUGAUCUUCUCAGAGGUGGGGUACCUCUUUUCGGCAUCAACCAUAGCCUUACUAGUGUAGUAAAUAGGUCGUUGUACCCCAUUAUCAUCCUCUCGGAGUAACACAGAGCUGGUGGCAUGCUCGGAUACGGCGAGAUAUAGCAGCAGCACCUCUCCCGGCUCAGGUUUGGCAAGUAGUGGAGCAUUCACGAGGUACCCCUUCAGUUCUUGGAAAGCCUCUUCACAAUCGGGUGUCCAUUGGAGCUUUUUAUCGGUCUUCAAAGCUUUGAAAAAGGGCUUACACCGGUCGGUAGCCUUGGAGAUAAAGCGGCUCAGAGCAGCUACCCGGCCUGCCAAGCUUUGAACCUCCUUGAUGGUGCUUGGCAAUUUCAUGUCAAGAAUUGUGCGAAUUUUAUCGGGGUUGGCUUCAAUCCCCCGUUGUUGUACCAUGAACCCGAGAAACUUUCCUGAGGUUACCCCGAAUGCACAUUUUUCAGAGUUAAGCCGCAUCUGAUGUUUUCUCAAAACGGUAAAGGUAUCUCUGAGGUGCCCCAGGUGUUCCCCCGCAUGCACCGAUUUGGUGAUCAUGUCGUCUAUGUACACCUCCAUGGUGCGCCCGAUUUGUUCUUUGAAAAUUUUGUUCACUAGCCGCUGAUAGGUAGCCCCGGCAUUCUUCAAACCAAACGGCAUAACCUUAUAACAGUAUAACCCCCGGUUGGUGAUGAAGGCUGUUUUCUCUUGAUCGGGUUCGUACAUCGGGAUUUGGUUGUACCCGGAGAAGGCAUCCAUAAAACUAAGCAUUUCAUGCCCAGCUGUUGCAUCAACCAGCUGGUCCACCCGAGGAAGCGGGAAGCUAUCCUUGGGGCAGGACUUAUUCAAGUCGGUGAAGUCCACGCACAUGCGCCACUUUCCGUUUGAUUUCUUGACAAGAACAACGUUGGACACCCAAUCGGGGUACACUGCUUCCCGAAUAAACCGUGCUGCUAAUAGGCGGUCUACCUCUUGUUCAAUUGCAUCGUACCUCUCUUGAUUGAAGGCGCGACGCUUCUAUUUGACCGGUUUAUUAUGCGGGCUGACAUUGAGUUUGUGACAAGAGAGAGAAUGUGGGAUACCCGGCAUAUCCGAGUGGGACCAAGCAAAUACAUCGAGAUGCUCACAUAGGAAGGUGAUGAGUUUCUCCCUUUGUUCCUCCGAGAGGUUGGAGCCUACUUUCAUUGUCUUUGUUGGGUCGGUGGCGCAAAUCGAGACUGAAAUAAGAUCUUCAAUUAGGGUACCCCGCAUUUCAUCUUUCAAUAUUCGGGGAUCCAAAGGUGCCUCAACUUCACAUCUGGGCUCCUCUUGGUCCCCAUGGGGUACCUUGGAGCUAUCCCUCGUAACUGCUUCCAUCCCCCUUAGUGAAAACUCCAACUUUUCUCGUGGGUGGGCUACUUGAGGAGAUUUUUUCAGUACUGUUCUCCGCUGUCUAGCAAGUGCUCGCUUUGAGGGGGAAGGUGUGGGCUGGCUGCCACUAGGGUACCCCUUCAUUGGCGGAUCUGAAGCUAUUUGGUAAGUGACUUUGGAGCUAGGGUACCCCUUCAUUGGCGAAUCUGAAGCUAUUUGGUAAGUGACUUUGGAGGCCAUGGAAUAACAUCCACGAGCCGAUUGCUGGUCCCCUUUAAUGGUGAUCUGCUCUUGGGCGGCCGGGAUUUUCAUGGCGAGGUAGUACAUGGAUACCACCGCUUUAGUUGCUACUAAGAACGGCCUACCCAAUAUAAUAUUGUAGGCACCCGGGUGAUCUACAAUAAGAAAAUCAAUCAUAUGAACAACACGGUGAGGUACCUUACCAAGUGUAACGGGCAGCGUAAUGAUGCCUUUUGGUAUAACCAUAUCUCCGGCGAACCCAAUAAGAGGCGUAGCAUAUGGGGUGAUCUUUAGCGACUCAAUCAAUAGUUGAUCCAAGGCGCUUUUGAAAAUGAUGUCAACGGAGCUACCGGUAUCUACGAGAGUUCUUGCUACCUUACCAGUGGCAACCUUCAACGUAAUUACGAAGGCAUCAUCGUGGGGGUACGAGAUGCCCUCCGCAUCUUUUUCUGUAAAAAGGAUAGGCGGGGGAUGGUGGGGUACCUUCGGUGUACCCCAUUCAUUAAGGUUGACUUCUCUGCCCAUAUUGGUGGUUAUCGACAACGAUCUACCAUAGCCUUUGAUAGCCCUCCUAGAUUGGCCCGCUAAAGUCGGUCCGCCCAUGAUCAUUCGGACAUACACGCCUUUCUUGUGUCCAGGGGGUACCUCUCGUUCGGGACUGCCAUCAGCUACCCGCUUGCCUUUAUCCUGUUCCGCAGAUUUCCGAGCUUCUCUCAUGCCAGCAACAAAUUCUUUGAGGUACCCGCUAAGAAUCAAAGAUUCAAUUUCUUCUCGCAAGGUGAAGCACUCGGCUGUGCUGUGACCAAAGUCCUCAUGGAACUCGCAAUACUUCAGGCUACGCUUCAUGUUGGGGUACUUCUUCAUUGGCUUAGGAGGAGUAACCAAACGUCCCUUGUAUUUUCGUGGCCAGAGCAGCUUGAUCUGGCGAAAUCAGCACUGAAGCCCCAAAAUCAGCCACUUUUGCUAUAUACUUGUCAUCCAAAAGUAAGUUGGAGGAUUUUACAUCUCCGUGAAUUAUUGGGGGGCUUGCUAAAGAAUGGAAAUAGUCAAGAGCUGAAGCAAUUUCGGCCGCGAUCCUAAGACACAUUUUCCAAGUUCUUAACGCCUGCGAACUCUUAUCAUGGAUAUAGUGAGAUAUAGUUUCAUUGGAAACAAAUUCAUAAACCAGUAGAGGCACUUUGGUUUGCAAACAUAGCCCUAAAAUCUUGACCACAUUCUUAUGGUUUAUUCGUGACACAAUACCCAUUUCCUUCGAAAUUCCUGAUUUAUCCGAAUUUUUUCUAACUCUUUAGGCUUCUUCACUGCAAUUUGGAUAUUGUCAGGUAAGACACCUUUGUAAACAGAGCCAAAACCACCUUCACCUAGAAAGUGGCUUUCAUUAAAAUUUUCGGUAGCUUUAACUAGCUCUGCGGCACUGAAAAUCCUCACUGACUGAUGCUUUAGUAUCUCACCACCAUUUUUUAAGAAGUUUUUCUGCUUUCUUCGUUCUAUACAUCCAAUGAAAAUUAAAAUUCCUAGAAUCACACUGAAUAUAACUGCUCCAAUAACUGAACAUGUUAAAAAGAAAAGAAUUAUAUAACGUAUAAUUAUAUAUGGAAAGGAAAAUGAUCCAUUAUAAGCAGCAUUCCAACUUCAUGCCCAAUCUCAAAGGAUUUUAACAUUGAAAUUUAAAAGCUUCACUUUACCUUUCUUGUAUUACUCAUUUUACCAGCUAAAUCAUCAUUUGGCAAAUACGAUGCAUAAAAUCAUUAACAUAUUAGGUACCGUGUAUCAAACUGUCAUAGAAUCUGAAAAAAUAAUUACUGUCAUGUAUCUUAAAAGGGAGAGACGACAAAACACAAACACUAAAAAAAUCUAGAUGACAAACAAUAAUAAUAAAAAUGACAAAAACAAUACUUACAGAUAAAUAAAUAAUAAAAGAAGCAAUAGAAAAUUUAGAAAGAGGACAUCAGUCAUCACCUGCAACAAUAGUGGUGAUAUGAAAUCCCCGACAAUCGGACAAUCGCAUGUAUAACUCCCAAUUGUGUUCCUACACUUCCCUUCACAAUGGUACUUUUCUUUAUCUAGGCAUUCAUUAAUGUCUGUCACACGUGCAUAAGGUGACACAUUUUUAAUGUAAAAAUUAAAGAACACUGAGAUUUAGACGGCAUGAGGCGACAAACUUUUAAUAACAAAAUUAAAGGAUACUGAUAUUUGGACCACGAAAUUAAAUAAAACGCUGACAAAAACAAUAUACAACCCCAAGAGAGUUUAGGUAUUUAAUUUUCCAACAUAAUUAACUCCGCAUCGGUUUUAGUCGGUGUUUUAUUGAUAUUUAGCCUCUUUAUAAUUUCUGUGAAUAAAAUGACUGAUUAUUAGUUAAAACAAAUAAAAAGAGAGGAAUCGAAGAAACAUACCAACACAUCCUAGAUAGGGGUUUCCUGAAAUCCUUGCUUGCAUUUGCAACGAUACCCUUUGCCAUUUUCAGAGUAAUAACAAUUAGUAUUAUCACCGCAGCCAUCAACUUUUGAAUUUGGAUCAUCCGGGCAAUUCUUUUCUUCAACUACCCAUGCAAUUGUAACAUUUGAACUUGACUUAUCUUCAGAGGCUCGAAAUUCUGCUAUAUUGAAGGUUUCGUCUGCUAAGAGUGCAUAAUCACACCGCAUGAACUCUCCCAUAUCCUCGUGAUUAUGUACGCUACGAAGAGUGAGUUCCAACGACUUGAGACUUUUGGGUAAUGGAGUCUGGGGUAUUGGGGUAUCUGAGGCAUGGCGAACGCCUCGGGGAGAGCUGCUGUCCUAAUCUCCAUAGUGAAUGGCGAUUUGUAGGUCAUUGGCGUUGGUGCAGCUGUGAUGUUUUGCUUCUCGGAGAGGAGCUUCACUUGGGCUUCCAGGUUCUCCAUCUUUUCCACAAGUUCAAGGGGUACCCUCGGUGUACCUGAUGAUGUCGCCACCAUUUGAGAAGCCCUUUUGGCGUUUAACUUCUCACGGAGAUCCUCGUGGGUACGCUUUGCACGCCUCGUACCCUGGCUACUGCGGGAAUUACAAGAGGCGGUGGAACGCUCGUCGCGGGAGCCCAUGGUUUGAAACUUAGAACGGGUACCCGAUGGCCUAAGCUUUGGCUUGCUGGCCUCGGGUACCCCUCUUCUGACCAUAGCUUGGUCGUCCGUUUGAGGUGGUGGAGCUUCUAGCGUCACUGGUGGAAGUGAACUUUCGGGUGCCCGAGAUCCGACCGCCCUAAGUAUUGCGUGGGCAAGAUCCUCAAAACGCUUGUGCGAAAUAGGUUCUUCUUCUUGGCGAACACCCGUCGAUUGCUUGACACCCUUGCCCUUACUGAUGCGGGCUACCCUUCUCGCGGGAUCACUACCUUCACUGUUGUUGUCCUCACUCAUCCUUGUAGGAUCCCCCAUUAAACCUUCGGGAGGUACGUCAGGUGCCAUGUAUUGGAGUACACACAACAACUAGUUUGGUAACUGUGGAGGAGGCUUUUUGUGCGUCUCCCCACAGGCGGCGCCAAUUGUUUUCAACUGAUUUUGGGGUAGGAAAAUCCAAAAUCAAUCUAGAACAAUAAAUUUAUAUUUUUGGGGGAGAUGGGGUACCUCACUAGUUUAUUUUGUGCGGUGCGGUGUAUCUGAAAUUCGGGGGAGGUGAGAAGGGGAGAAAGAGUGGUAACAAUGGUGAAAGGUCAGAAACGAGAGAGGUGUCCUUCCAAAUGAGUCUCACGCUUGCAAAACAGUGAAAUAGAGGUUAGAGGUGAAGCCGGGGUACCCCGGCGUUCACACUCCGACGCUCAAGUUAGCAAACUCAAGCUUUAAUGGUAAAGAGAGCUGGUCAGCCCUCUGUAAAUUUAGGGUUUAAGGUUGAAGAAAACCUAUUUUUUGGAGUGUGAGUGUUAUUGGUGAGUGAGAGCCUGGUGAAGAGUGAAACCUAGGCGCCUUUAUAUAUGGAGUACCUUAGCUGCCACGUGGCAUACCCCUUUUUGGCUAACGUCCUUUUACCUCUUUAUAAUUUUUCGGGUCAUUAUCUGCAUGUUAGCGGCAUAUCUCAUCUUUUGGAAACGUGGCGCGCGCUGGAGAGUGGUCCGGGGUACCUCUGCAGUAGCUGUCGGGUAGGCGGCUGGGGACCACUGUCCUUGGGACAGUGUCCUUCACUUUUGGCAGAGGUAGCAGGCGGCUGUCCCCCCCUUUUGAUACGACGUUCUUGAUUCCUAAUUCUGACAAAAUCAAAUAAUAUCUUUUAGGAGGCGGAGACGUUUCUCAUGGCGGAUAUUUUCGGCGGAUUCUCUUACAUCCGCUUUGCCGGGUACCUCGAGUUACAUGGGGUACCCCCUAUUACGCGGGGUACCCCUAUUUGUAUGGGGUAUCUCUAUUUGUGUGGGAUACCUCUAUUUAUACGGGGUACCUCUAUUUAUACGGGGUACCUCUAUUUAUACGGGGUACCUCAAGUCAUGCUGAGCACCUCGGAUUAUGCAAGGUACCUCCGAUUAUGCUGAAAUCAUUCCAUUGGCUGACACGUGGCGCUCUAUUACCUUUCCUAUUUUCCCUCAAACACAAACUGAUGUGAUGCGCCCCUGCUCAGCAAGAUAGGAUAUUUCUGGGUUCUAGCAUGCUCAACUCGGCUGGAAUCUCAUUCUCCCACUUAAAUUUAUGUAGACCUUUGAUGUGUAUACAAGGCAUUUCAAUUAUGGAUCAGUUUUAUUAUUGAAAUUGUGCAACUGUAGUUUAAAAAUUAUAAUAUUAAAGUGUUUGAUAAAUACUAACUGCAGUAUCUUAGAAAUUAUGUUUAUAUGAUUUUUCACUUUUAUUAUUUAAAUAUUAUAUUUACUAUAUAUUAUUAAUUUUUAUUUCAUAAUUAUAAUUUUUUUUUUACAACUGCUGUAUCUUAAAAGCUAUAGCAUGUUAUGUGAAUUUGCAUUCUAGGCUUGUAACUUCAUACGUCAUUAAUCAGACAUUGCCAACAUAAUGAUGGUUGUCUGCAGGCUUUUGUUUCAUUCUUUUCAAAUUUCUGCUUCAAAUAUCAACACUAUUUUAUUCACACAAAGGACCCAAAGAGGCCUUUGUUGAUAUUAAAUAAAAUAGCGUUCUAACGUAGCAUUCUCUACUACUAAUUCAGUGGAAUGUUGGUGGAAAUGAUUUCAAAAUAUUUAAUUCAAUGAAUAUGAGAAGAUAAAGAGUUUUUUUUCCUUUUUUUUAACGAUAUUAAUAAUAAACUAUAAAAAAAUUAAACUUAUUACUCAUAACAACCCACUCAACUUGUUUAAAUUGAAUUGGAUCGGAUGUAUUGAGUUGGAUUGAGUUUGCUCAUCCCUAAUUAUUAGUACAGUAAAAUUAAAAGGACAAGGAGUAUACUAAGAAAAAUUAAUUAAUUUUACAUUUUAGUUACAUGAUAAAUCGUCUGUUACUUAUCAUUCCCUUAUAUUUGCAUGAUUAAGAAAAAAAUACUUGAUGAAAAAUUCUAGUAUUUUUUAAAACUUAAUUACUUAGAUUAAAUUUAUUCGUGUUUACUUGACUUCAGGGAUUUAAAGAAUAGCUUUCACCCUCUUUAUUUAAUUAGUUGUAUGAGUUCAACUUCUAGAGAGAUAAAGAGUUAAAAUUUAUAAUUAAACUCUACACCCAACUCUAUGUUGAUGCCCAAAAAUGACCUCAAGAGCUGAAUUUAUUUUCUGAGGAAUAACAUCACGAAUCCAAGCUCAAACUACAGCUCAACUACAACUUCCUAUACCUGCCAACCACAGAACACGGUUAAGACACGCCGGUGGGGGUUCCGACGGGAAUACUCCUAUGCUUAAGUCAGACGUUUUGUAUAUAAGAAAAAAGAAAAUGAAAAGGAGGAACUGGAAAUGAAUUAAAAUCAAGGAAUUCUUCGGUGGUUGUGUUGUCAAUCUCGUAGAAAAUAUGAAGGUUUUAAGACUAGUCACUUGUAGAGUUUUUUAGUUAAUUUUUCUACCACUUUUCUCUUAUGCUCUUUUCAACUUAAAUAGGCUCUCGGUUGUGGGUGGUUAUCUCAUUAGUUUUAUUCCACUCUCUUGAGCAGUUGCAGCUAGUUUUCAACUGAAGGCGGUUUGAUAAGUUGCGUUAUGUAACUUUCUCAAAAUAUAUGCCACGUGGUCCUGACAAAUAAUAUUUCGUGUCAAGCUAGCACAUCCUCAGGUCGGACAAACAAGUUUCCAGCUCAAACUACUUCAUUUCCAUAUUAGAUUAGUAGAUUUUUAUGUCGCUCGUAUGGACUUAGAGUUGUAUUUAUAAACCAGCUCGUCCACAUUGACUCUAGAUUGUACUUAUAAACCACAUCGCUAACAUAGGCUCUUAGUUGUACUCAUGAGACCAACUCAACAACAAUUGGUUCCAAGUAAAGGUUAGAAUCAACUGUAUUUCUCGACAUUGUUAGAAAAAAUCCAAUCUCAACACCAGUCCCUUAAUUUUUAAUAUCGAGAAGCUAUUACUGGUGUUGGAAAGUAAUUAUUGAAAAAAUAAAAAAUAAAAAUCGUAAACCUAACACCAAUCAUUUAGUUUUCAAUAUCAGAAAAUUAUUACUGGUGUUGGAAAUUAAUUAUCGAAAAAAAAAUUGAAAAUAUUUUCGCAAACCCAACACUAGCACCCUAGUUUCCAAUACUGAAAAGAUACGAUUGGUGUUGGAAACUUAAACGUAGGACAAUAUGAGCUCGAGCUGAGCAAAGAAUGCGUAGCUAAACAUAAAUAAUGCCGAGUUGAAUGGGCUAAAAAAUUGUAAAAAAAAAAUUGCAUUGCUCAUAGAGAAGAGAAAAAAGGACGAAAAAGUAAAAGAAAUAAAUAAAUAAGGCAAUAAAACAAAAGUAAAUAAAUAAAUGAAUGAGACAACAAAACAAAAGUCAUGUCACGUGAGUAGAGGAAAGCAAAAUUUAAGUCACAAACUUUUGUCUUAUAGCCAAUAAUAAGGUAAUCUCGGCCAUUAGUUGCCUAAGGGUUUAGAUAAUGCAAUUUAUUAUAGUUGUUUUUGUUCGUUUGCGUACCUUCUCCUAUUGCUCUAUUCAUCAAUGGGAAUAGGUGCUAGCUUUAAUAAUUUUACUCGAAUAAUUUUAUACAUAUACGUUUACUCAAAAAGUUAGCAAAGGCAAGAGAAAAAUGCACGAAAUUAUUAAAACGAAAAAUAUUGAAUUACAAAACAGCAAUUUUAUGCAACUUUUGUGCAAAUUUCAUUAUUGUUUUGACUAUCCAAACGGAGCUAUGCAUCCUCUUUUAAAUGACUCAACCAAAUUGUCCAAUGCAACACGAGAUGACCCACCAUCCCUCAUCGCUGCUGCAGCUGCUUCUUUCAUUGCCACCGCACGUUCCUUAACAGCUCUACCUUUCUCCGAGUCCAUCAACUCACUAACUCGCUGCUCCAACUCGGCUGAGCUCACCAAUCCGUCUCCUUCUUCUGACCGAGUCACCGCCAAACCCACCUUCAUUUCCUCCACCACGACCGCUCUAAUCAUCUUUUGCUCGGCAUACAGAGGCCAAGCCAACAUUGGCACCCCGGCACAAACACCUUCAAGCACCGAGUUCCACCCGCAGUGAGUCACAAACCCGCCAACUGACUCAUGAUUCAGUACCUCCACUUGCGGCGCCCACGAUUCAACCACGAGCCCCCUAUCUUUUGUUCUAUCCAAGAACCCUUCAGGUAAAAGAGACUCCAAUGAGCUUCGGUUCUCGACGCUGUCGGGAGCUGGAGCUCUCACGACCCAAAGAAACUUAACACCACUUCUCUCCAACCCAAUGGCCAUUUCUUUUAACUGCUUACAAGAGAACGAUCCCAAGCUUCCGAAACAAAGAAACAGGACGCUUCGACUCGGUUUCGAGUCAAGCCAGCUCAAGCAUUCAUGUCGAUCACGUCCUCGAUUCUCUCCAUUUCCUCGACCAACCACGGGCCCUAUGCAAUAUAAAGGCGGCGACGUAUCCCCUGGAGUGCAUUGUCCUUCUAGCAUCGCUUUGAUAGCUCUCUCUUCGAGCAAUUCAAAUGUGUUUACAAUAACCCCCGCAGAUUUUGCCAUCUGGAUGCCGGUGUCGACUAAGCCCUUGUAUACUUUACCCUCACGAUCAUGCAUGGGUAACGCCAUGUCUCUUGCUGGAAAAGGCGGAAAUCCGGGGAAAUUUAAAAGCGCGCUGCCGAGUUCUCUGAAGCUCUUUGUGGUGUUUUUAUGAAGAGUUGGUAAGUAGAGGUUAGCAGCGAGUACGCUUCCUGCGGUGGUGAAGUAAUAGUAAGUAGGGAUACUGAGAGUACUCGAGGAAACUUGAAACGCGGGGUUGCAAAGGAAAUCGAUAACAAAGGCUUUCAGGUUUGAGCGUUUGGAAAUUGUUAUUAGGGUUUCGUGGAGAUUAGGGUUGUUGAGCUCGCCAAGCUCGUACACUAAGGCUGGGAAGUCAGCUGGUGAACGUAAAGUGUCGGGUAGGCCGGAAACCGGAGGAGGGAGUUGGUGGAAGGUAACGGAGGGAGCUGUGGCGGAGACGGAGGCGAUGUAAUCAUCGGUACCGGCGCUUGAUACGAACGGGGCGGUGGGGAUUAUGAUGUCAAUGGAGAAGCAAGGGUGGUACGUGAGUAUCAAUUUUCCUAAUUCAACCAUGGAGUUUAAGUGACCUCUUCCUGGAGAAGUAUAAAAGACAAUCGUAUCUUUCAUUUUUUUUAAUCUUUAAUUUUACAAGUUAAAAUAUUUUUAAAAAAAACAGUAGAAAUGGUGAGAAAUUAUAGUGAGAGAGAAUGAGAGUGUGAUAAAGGGCUCCUUUGUGUUUGCUAAUCGCAAUGCAAUUAUGCAUCGAAGCCCACGACGAAAUACUGGAAGCCUGUAGGUUACAGGGUUAAAUGGGCAAAGAAUUGUUGGUUGAAGUAAAGGGAGCUUAAAGAAACUUUCACAAGUGGAGGAGGAUUUUGGGGAAAACGAUUCAGUCUCUUCUACUCGGCUUCAAUGCCUUGCGUAAGUGUAGCAUGUGGGCUGAAUUAUUUAUCAAAACGAGAAGGACUUGCGAGUUGAGGUCACUUAGUUGCCAGGUUGUGAACCCAUCAGACAAUCACAGUAUGCUGACAUAAUUGACCAACCUGUUUUCUAGCCACAUAGUUCAACUACCCACUAUGACUUUUCAAAGCAAAUGACGUGGCCUAUGUUUACACCGCUUGAUUUACCUGUCCCCUACCCCGCUCUGUUUUCUCCUAAUCUUUAACUAGGCUCCACCGUAUUAAAAAUAAAAAUAAAAAACAAAAACUAUCCCUUAAUUCUUCUAGAUUACCAGAGGGAAGUGGUGGAAAGUGACGGAAGGAGUGGUGGCGGAGACGGAGGCGAUGCAACCGUGGAUACAGGAGCUUGUUUCGAAUGGGGCGGUGGUGCGGAUUAUGGUAGCAAGGGUGGUAAUUAAGUAUCAAUUUUCCUAAUCCUACGAUGAAAUUUAAGUGACAUUUUUCUUGGAGAAGGAUACAAAAUAAAGUAUUCUUUCAUUUCUUUACCUAUAAUUUAAAAUUAUUAAAUGCUAAAAAAAAGGUCGGAGCUUAUAGAAAAAAGUUUAGAAUAUUAAUAUAUUAGUUUUAUUGGUUUCUUUAUGAUAUAUUUACCGGUAAUUAUUUUUAAAGAUACAACGUUAUCAAAUUAGCUUUACAAAUAAUUCAUGUGACAAUUUAAUUUAAAUUUGUGAUCGUAUGUACAAUAAAAUUAAAUUUAUAGAGAGAAAACUCCUUAAAUUUUUAUCCUUUUAGAAGUAAGAAUAAUAUAUUAGGCAUGUGAACCUUCCAUUGCGAUUAGGCCAAUCAAAAUUUGAACAUAUGAAGUCUGCAACAGUCACUUCAAUUGCGAUUAGGCCAAUCAAAAUAUGAACAUAUGAAGUCUACAACAGUCACUUCCAUUGCGAUUAAGCCAAUCUUGUAGCUAUAUUCGUGGCAUGUUAAUGCUGACCAAUUUUAAUUUAAAUUAUUGGCUCGGCGAGUACUGAAGUACAAUUAAUCUGUCCGCGAAAUCGGAAUAAAAUAUUUGUGUCCCAAUUUACUGGCACAUUACAUGUCAAUUGAUUAAUGAUAGCAUAAAGAGGUGUGCUAGCGACAGUCGGUCGCCCUUGUGGGCCACUAACUCAGUCGCUCUUUUAUUUUAUGGGCACGUGUUUGAUAUUUUGGUUCUGUGUAAUUUUAAAUUAAUGUUAAUAUCUUUAAGUUUUGUUUUAAUAUUAUUAUUUUUAUGUAUAACGAAUUUACCACAAUAUCCUUAUCAUUUCUCCCUCUCGCCAGGCUUGUUCUCCCUGCCACUGCAGCUCCUUCUCUGCUUCUUCAAUUUCUUUUCUCUCUCUACUGGAAGCUUGGAAAAAAGAGAGAAAAGGGAAAAAAAAAAAUUUGAAGUCAAGUCUCCUUUUUAGCCAAAAUAAAAUUUUAAAAAAUAUUUUACUUUAAAAAAUAAAUAACAAAAAUUAUCCUAGCCAUGUAGAUCCGAUUACGCACCUAAAAUAAAAUAUCAUAUCAAAUCUGAAGUAGGAGAAGUGGAGAGACGGUCAUCUUUCAAGCAACGAUAAUAUUUUGUUAUCAUUUCUUUUUUUAGGAGACUUUGUUUUUUUAAAUCUUUUUUCCCCUUGUCUUUUUUUUUUUUUCCCUUCCAAUCUUUCGUUAAAGGAGAAAAGAAGGAAAAGAAAUUGACGAAGAAGAGAACAAUAAGAAGAGAAAGCUUGGCAAGGAGGAGAAAGGAUAAGGAUGUUUUGGUAAUUUCACUAUACAUAUAUAUAAUAAUAUUAAAAUAAAACUAAAAGAUAUUAAUAUUUUAACAUUUAUUUAAAACUAUACAGAACCCAAAAUAUCAAACACGUGUCAGCAAAUGAAGUUAGCGGCUGAUGGGCGAUUGUCGCUAACACUCCUCUACUAUUAAAAAGCCAGCUAUUAUUAAACCCAUCACAUGUCAUUUCUUUAAAAUGUUGUAUUCAAGAAGCAUAUGAAGUCUCCUUCAAUUUUUUUAAAACUUCUAACUAUAUUUCAAUGGAAUUCUCACUAAACCUGCUUAACAAUUAACUAAAAUAUGUAGCUGGCAAAUUAAUUUCAACUUUUGCUUACGAGGAAAUACUACUAAUCAAGUUUUUUACAAUGAGGAUCAAAAUUCUCAAUUAAAAUAGGCGACGUUUUCUCGUAUUCUAUAAUUUCUCUUAAGCAUAUGGUUAAAUUAUUAUUUGGCAGUCGUAUGUAAAUGAAAGAAAUUCACACUUCUUUGUAAUUAAAAUUAUUCUCAACAUUAUUUUGCUCUUCCAUAAAUUCAAUAGGAGUCACUUUAUAUGUGUUCUAAGAUUAAUAAAAAAUAAAUAAAGAUAUCAAUUCAGGGUUAAAAAAAAUGUAACGGUGAGUGUAAAGAUGGGCUUAAAGAAUACAAAUAUUUUAAUAAUUUAAUUUUUUUUUUCCAAGUGUGGAUUUAGUGAGUGGGUUUGUGUGUUCAAAUGCAUAUUAUUAUGUAAUAAAAAAAUACAAAUAAUUAUUACGAAGUGUUUGUACUAUGGACUUUUCGGAUAAGCCAAUUAACGACUAUUGCUAAAAGCCCCUCACUGUAUUCAUGCAAGUGAUCCAAGGCCGUAUCGUAGCUCAAGCACCAAACAGCUUAAUUUAUGUUUGGGCCGGGUCGGAUUAUGGACUUUGGACUGAAUUUCUUUUUGGUACUUUUUGAGAAAAAUAACAAGAAGACACUAAAAUACAGCAGUCACAAACUCUCAACUAUUGUAUACAAAUAGAUAACAUAAUAAAAAUAAAUGAUAUGGAUGGUACGGUGUUUUAUUUAAUUAAAUCCAUGCUAUUUAUACCACGUGAGUUGUACAAUAAAUUUGUAGUUAGCCACAUCUAGUUCUCGUAAUUGUGCCCUUCAUAGAUUACCUUAUCUAAGCCCUUAGGCAAUCGUAUGGCCGAGAUUACCUUAGUAUUGACUAUAAGACAAAAGUUGGUGACUUAAAUUUUGCAUUCCUCUACUAACGUGACAUGACUUUUGUUUUGUUGCCUUAUUCAUUUAUUUCUUUACUUUUGUUUUAUUACCUUAUUUAUUUAAUUCUCUACUUUUUCGUCCUUUUUGUCUUUUCUCUAUGAUCAAUGCAAAAUUUUAACAAUUUUUAAGCCCAUUCAACUCGGCAUCAUUCAUGUUUAGCUAAGCAUUCUUUGGUCAGCUCAAGGUCAUAUUAUCCCCCGUUUAAGUUUCCAACACAGAUCAUAUCUUCUCGAUAUUGGAAACUAAGCGACUAGUGUUCGGUUUACGAAUAUUUUUCUAUUUUUUUUAAUAAUUAAUUUCUAACACUCGUAAUAACUUCCUGAUAUUAAAAACUAAGGGAUUGAUGUUGAGAUUAGUUUUUUUUUUUUGACCCAAUGCCGAGAAAUACAAUUGACCCUAACUUGUUAGGAAUCAAAUGCUAUUGAACUGACCUCAUGAGUACAACCAAAAACCUAUGUUGACAACCUGAUUUUAUAAGUACAACUUCGAAUUAAUGUGGACGACCUUAUUUAUAAAUACAACUCUAGGUCUAUGCGAGCGACAUAAAAAUCCACCAAUAUGAUUUGGAAAUGAAGUAAUUCAACCUCGAAACUUGUUUGUCCAACCUGAGGAUGUGCUAGCUCGACACGAAAUAUUAUUUGUCAAGACCACGAGGCCUAUAUUUUGGGGAAAUUACAAACCACAACUUGUCAAACCGUCUUCAACUGACGACUAGCUAUAACUGCUCAAGAGAAUGGGAUAAAACUGAUGGAGUAACCAUCCACAACUGAGAGUCUAUUUUAAGUGGAAAAGAGCAUCAAAGGAAAUGAUUAGAAAAAUUAACUAAAAAGCUCUAUAAAUGACUAGUCUUAAAACCUUCUUAUUUUUUAUGAGAUUAACAACACAACCACCCAAGAAUUCUUUGAUUUUAACUCAUUUCCAAUUCCUCUUUUUCAUUUUCUUUUUUCUCAUAUACAAAACAUCUUACUUAAGCAUCAAAGGAUUCUUGUCGAAACCCCCACCAGUGUGUAUUAACCGUGUUCUAUGGUUAGUAGGUAUAAGAAGUUAUGGUUGAGCUGUAGUUUGAGCUUGGAUUCGUGUUGUUAUUCCCUAGACAAAUAAAUUCAAAUGUUAAGGCAGUUUUUCUGCAUCACCACCCUCCUUAAAAGACAUUCAUUAAAUAAUAAUCCUUUGGUAAUUAGCCCAUGAGCGUACUAAGAAUAGUAAAGGAAAUCUACGGAAUGACAUACAAUUGUUAAUAUUCCAAAUUAAAGAAAAACAUCAUCGUUUAUUUUUAAAAGAACGAGAGAGAAUCACAGGUGCUAAUUUUUACUCGAAUAAUUUUAUACAUAUACAUUUACUCAAAAAGUUAGCAAAGGAAAAAAAAUGCAUGAACUUAUUAAAAACAAAAAAUAUUGAAUUACUAAACAGAAAUUUUAUGCAACUUUUGUGAAAACUUCAUUAUUGUUUUGACUGUCCCAACGGAGCCAUGCGUCCUCUUUUAAAUGACUCAACCAAAUUGUCCAAUGCAACACGAGAUGACCCACCAUCCCUCAUCGCUGCUGCAGCUGCUUCUUUCAUUGCCACCGCACGUUCUUUAACAGCUCUACCUUUCUCCGAGUCCAUCAACUCACUAACUCGCUGCUCCAACUCGGCUGAGCUCACCAAUCCGUCUCCUUCUUCUGACCGAGUCACCGCCAAACCCACCUUCAUUUCCUCCACCACGACCGCUCUAAUCAUCUUUUGCUCGGCAUACAGAGGCCAAGCCAACAUUGGCACCCCGGCACAAACACCUUCAAGCACCGAGUUCCACCCGCAGUGAGUCACAAACCCGCCAACUGACUCAUGAUUCAGUACCUCCACUUGCGGCGCCCACGAUUCAACCACGAGCCCCCUAUCUUUUGUUCUAUCCAAGAACCCUUCAGGUAAAAGAGACUCCAAUGAGCUUCGGUUCUCGACGCUGUCGGGAGCUGGAGCUCUCACGACCCAAAGAAACUUAACACCACUUCUCUCCAACCCAAUGGCCAUUUCUUUUAACUGCUUACAAGAGAACGAUCCCAAGCUUCCGAAACAAAGAAACAGGACGCUUCGACUCGGUUUCGAGUCAAGCCAGCUCAAGCAUUCAUGUCGAUCACGUCCUCGAUUCUCUCCAUUUCCUCGACCAACCACGGGCCCUAUGCAAUAUAAAGGCGGCAACGUCUCCCCUGGAAUGCAUUGUCCUUCUAGCAUCGCUUUGAUAGCUCUCUCUUGGAGCAAUUCAAAUGUGUUUACAAUAAUCCCCGCAGAUUUUGCCAUCUGGAUGCCGGUGUCGACUAAGCCCUUGUAUACUUUACCCUCACGAUCAUGCAUGGGUAACGCCAUGUCUCUUGCUGGAAAAGGCGGAAAUCCGGGGAAAUUUAAAAGCGCGCUGCCGAGUUCUCUGAAGCUCUUUGUGGUGUUUUUAUGAAGAGUUGGUAAGUAGAGGUUAGCAGCGAGUACGCUUCCUGCGGUGGUGAAGUAAUAGUAAGUAGGGAUACUGAGAGUACUCGAGGAAACUUGAAACGCGGGGUUGCAAAGGAAAUCGAUAACAAAGGCUUUCAGGUUUGAGCGUUUGGAAAUUGUUAUUAGGGUUUCGUGGAGAUUAGGGUUGUUGAGCUCGCCAAGCUCGUACACUAAGGCUGGGAAGUCAGCUGGUGAACGUAAAGUGUCGGGUAUGCGGGAAACCGGAGGAGGGAGCUGGUGGAAGGUAACGGAGGGAGCUGUGGCGGAGACGGAGGCGAUGUAAUCAUCGGUACCGGCGCUUGUUACGAACGGGGCGGUGGGGAUUAUGAUGUCGAUGGAGAAGCAAGGGUGGUACGUGAGUAUCAAUUUUCCUAAUUCUACCAUGG
rnacentral:lncRNA from 1 species